rnacentral:lncRNA from 1 species
GCUUAUAUUUCUCCAUCUUUUUCUUGAUAGCUAGGAUGAAUAUAUUGAAAGAGCACACAUUUCUCUUUCUUACUAUUCCGGAGGCCAUUUAUAAGUGAAAUCCUUUAUGCCACCUCUUAAUUGGUACAUGUAAAAGAAAGUUUUGUCCAACGUCUUUUUUGCUUUCCUAGAAAAAUCAUCUCUCUCUCUCUCUCUCUCUCUCUCUAAUUUAUUACUUUCUUUUCACUCUAAUAAUGUUACCCUUUUCCUAGCAGUGAAGUUGACCUGGCUUUAAGAGCAUAUAACAAGCAAGUUGGGCCUGAGCCUGCUAAAAUAAUGUUUUAUGCUGUGUCAUAUGCUGCCUGGUCCCAGCCUCUGAAAAUUUUGUUUGAUGAGCACACAGAAAAUAGAAAAAUAAAGAUAAGACAAGGGGAUAGGGCUAAGGCAUGCCAAAGUACAUAGGUAGUAUACAAAGGGCACCAUGCAAAAGGAACAAUGAAAGGAGGGAAUUCAGAGGGCAGAACACAUGUCCACAUGUACUUGGCUUCUAAACAAUCAACAAAAUCGACCAUAGACAUAGUAUUCCCUUCUAUAUGGUGCCUAACGCAUUCCAGCCUCUGAAAAUGGCUUCCUUCAGCACGUUCUUAGGCCUUCUAUAUUAAUUCUCAUCCAGUAGGAUUAUGAUUAUUUGUUUCACUUUCUUUUCUUAGUGCAUAGUUGUAUUUUGCAGGAGACACUACGAGUAAAGGAUGAGGAAUUGCAGCAUUUGGCCAGGGACCUUCGGGCACGGGAUUCAACAAUUAAAGAGAUAGCAGAGAAACUAUCUGAUACUGCUGAAGCUGCAGAGGCUGCAGCAUUGGCAGCACAUACAAUGGAUGAACAAAGGCGAAUGGCUUGUGCAGAAAUUGAUCGUUUAAGAAAAGAUUCAGAGAAGCAGCUUGGGUCAUCCAUGUUGAAGGUACCCAUAAGUUCUCUCAUUUCUUGAUGGUUUGGUUCAUUGUUUAAUGAUAUUGUUAAUAUGUAUCAUCUUACAGGAUUAAGGAGGGAAAAUAAAACUUCACUACAAAAGUUUUGGUCUUUUAUUUUGUUGCUGAAUUUGUUUUUGUUUUUGUUUUAAUUUUAUUUUACUUCUUCCAUCAUUAUUAGAUAUAUGAACUUCAUUAAGAAUGCUUGUUUAGAAUUGAGAGAUGUUGCAUUUGGUUGCCUAAUCUUUCUUUAUUUGGGGUUUUCAUUGAAAUAUGUAGCUGAAAGAGUUUGAAGAAAAGGUUAUGGCUUUAUGUAAAGAAAGGGAUCAAUUGGUCAAGCAGAGAGAUUCUGCGAUCCAGGAGGCACAUUUAUGGCGCUCUGAGCUUGCAAAAGCAAGAGAGCGUGUUGUAAUAUUAGAAGGUGCAGUUGUUAGAGCUGAUGAGAAGGUCAGGGUUGCAGAGGCAGAUGCUGAAGCCAGGAUAAAGGAAGCAGCACAGAAAGAGUCAGCUGCUGUAAAGGAAAAGCAAGAGCUUUUGGCAUAUGUUAACAUGUUACAAGCACAACUUCAAAGGUUAAUCAUCUGACCCCUCAACCCAUCUUUGUCAAUAUAUAUAUAUAUAUAUAUAUAUACAGACUCAUUGGCCAUGUACUCUUGUCUCACCUCCUUUUCAGUUUUUGUAAUUCUUGCAUUCUAUUAUUGUACUUUAGGGCACCCAUAGUCAUAUUUCAUAAUUAAAAAAGGCUGUAAAUUUAAAAGUUGAGUGAUUACAUGAAGUAUUGAUAACUGAAAAUGGGGAACUGCAGAUGAUCUAAGUAAGCCCUAUAAGUUCAGAAAGUGAUGAAAAAAAAGAGAGUUAUUGAGUUCCACAUAGAUGAGUAGGUGUGGAGGAAGUAUGAUGGUUCUAAGGUUAUUGAAAUCUCCUUUUUCAGUUUCUAUUACAUAUUUAUGCAUGUCUCACAUGGUACAGAGAGUGAUUCCAUCAUUAAGUGAAUCUCAUCAAUGAAAUUUUGCUAGUUCAUUGAGGAUCUUCGAGGAUAAAGCAAGGAAUCCAGAGAAUCUUUGGGAUUUUAUUCAUUUCCUUGCUUCUCUUUGGGCUUUUUGUUCCAAGGUCUUUAAGGGGACUCCCCUUAUUGUGUUACAACUUGAUUGGCUAGCGGUGUAUAAUUCCUUUGGGUUGGUCUAGUCUAGAGAGUUUGUUCGUAUUAUAUUGUAUUUUCUUGUUUUCGUUUUCUUGUAGUUUAGUUUUCCUUAGUGGGAGGAUUCCUCAUCCUUCUCUUGUACUUCUUUUUUCUAUUAAUAUAUUCCUUUGUCGUUUCCUAUAAAAAAAAAAAAUUUGCUAGUUCAAAAUAAAUGGUAUGGGAUUAUUCCAAUGAUGUGCUCUAUUGGUUUCUGUUGAUGUGAAUCCUUUAGGGAUGUUAAAUUUUCUUUUAUUUCCUUAAGUUGCAAGGUCUUGUUUAUAUGUUGCCUCUGGUUUGUCAAAGUAUCCAUUCCAGUGAUCCGUAUCAUAUACUGAGGAGUUCCUUUGGAAUUCUUGUUCUCAAUUUGGAAGGUUACUCCAGGAAUAUAGUUGGUAAUAUAUAUUAGUUGAGAUCUGGAGGUGAGGGAUGGAGAUUGUGGUGAAAUGAGAACCAUCUUGCACCAUUAGUUAUGACAUGUUCAUGGUUCAGUUCUCAAUCUUAUAAAUUUGCAUUAAAAAGGUACAUUACAUCUGCAUUAUCUAGAAACUUAAGAAGAGAAACGACCUUUCAGUUGACUUCAGUGGAUAAACAAUGUCUGAUGCAUCUAUCAUUUCCUGUUAGCAGGCAGCAGAUUGAUACAAAAAAGCAAGUCUUUGAGGAGAAGACCGAGUCUUGCUCUGAUAUUGGCAACACUCGUCCCUUAACAAAGCAUGUGGAUUUGUCAGAUGAGAAUGUGGACAAAGCAUGUCUUAGUGUUUCUAGAGCAGUCCCUGUUGGGGAGAAUGUAGUCCACUUGGCCAUGGAUCAGGUUAAUCUCCGACCAGUUGGAGAUGGUGAAUGGAGUGAUAUUCAAGCAACAGAAGCAAGGAUAGCUGAUGUACGAGAAAUUGCCCCUGAGACAGAAGGAAGCAGCUUGGACAUUCCUGUUGUUAGCCUACCAGUAAAUAACCAUCAUGAACAAGGAGCAAACUCUUUUCAUCAGCCGUGAUAUUUUCCUGAUGUGGGGAUAAACUCACCAUCAAAGGUCAGUUAUAGGAGGAAUUGAAACUCUUGUUGCGUCUUUUAGUUCCCUGUCUAGCAUUUGAUUUGUAAGUGAGAUAUCAACAUGCUGGUUUAAAAUUGAAGUUGUGAUACAUGCCUUCUUCUUAAUAUAGGAAAAUUAGACUUUCUCAAUGCGAUGUUUAAAAGCAUCUCAAUAAGUUGUUUUUGAUAUUUGUGUGAAGAGCCUAUUUUUCUGUUUUUCCUACAGAUUUUUCAGUUUUGUUCAUUUUUUCUUGAUGAUACUAGUCUCAUUGAAUUGCUUCUACUCUACCUUAUCAUAUACCUUGGUUAUACCUAGUAGCCCUUUAACGUGUGACCAUUAUGUUCUUGAGAUGAUUCUCAAAGUUAUUGUACACAACUUCAAUUGUAACACAAAAUCAUAGCCUAUGAUCGAGAAUGGAAACUUUUGACUUCUUUAAGGAUCCUUUUUCUCCCCACCUGUUGCAUAAAGAUGCUGCUGCUUGACUAUCAGUCAUAAAGAGAUUUGAGUCUUUUCAAGCUGUGUUAAGCUCUUUGUUAAAUCAGUUGGGGAAGCUUCUUGUAAGUUGAGGAGAAUUGCAAAGAUAAUGGUAAUAAGAUGCCUUGUUUAGGAAUAAUAUCAAAUUUAAUGGGAUGAGCUUGCUCUUGUGGAUGACUCAUUUCCCUGGAAUUUGUAUUUGAAACUCUUGACAAAAGAAGCUUCACAAAUCAAAUAAUGAAUAAAUUGACCCGAGACAAAUGCUGUUGAUUGUUGUUGGGAAGUUAUUUACUUAGAGCGUAUUUGAGAAUUUUCUAUUUGAGGUAGAGAAAUGUUUUUUGGGAAUCGCCUAUCAAGUGCUUUUCUAGCAUAUAUUUGUACUCCCCAAUCUGAAAAUAAAGUAUAGACUGACAAAUAUUGGGAAAAGGGUGAAGUAGCUUUGAAAUUUUGGCAGAACUAGUAGAGAGUGAUGAGGAUGGUUGAAAGGCACAAUUCCAUGUCAUUUGCAUCGUUGCACGUAGGUGAGAUUGUCUUUCAUCCAUCCUAUAAGCUCUAAAUUAGUCAGCAAGGAAACUGCCUUGUAGAGUGAUACUUCACAUUGUUAUGCUUAUUUUUGGAUCUAUUUGAAUGAUGCUUAUAUUUGUUUUCCGUUGACCGUUAGAAAGCUACCUCCCUCAUGGUUGAAUGGUUCCUGUCGCGUUUCAGCUCGGGUUUAGAGACAUGAAGAUGAUUUCCACACGUCAAGUUUUCAGGUCCAAUUUGUGAAUGGCUCUCAAACCAAGUCUUUAACCUAGUGUGGAUAUAUUUUCUAAUGUCUACUUUUAAAAGUAAAAGUAAAAAAAUGAUAUGAAACAUGAAAAUUUUUAAAAAUGGUCAUUUUAAAAUUUUGUUUAAAUUUACUAUUUUAAAUUUUAAAAAUUCUGAAAAAUAAUUUUAACAUGAGAUGGAUCUUUAUGUAACAUAUAAUAAUUUUUAUAUAUCAUAUAGAAAUUGUUAUUAUUCCCCAUUUUUAAAGUUGAAUGAUAGGUGGUGGAUUCAAACCACAUCUUAAUUAAAAACCAAAUGGCCAACGACUUACGACGAACUUAAAAGUUAAAAGAGGUGUAAGCAAUAUUUUCAAAGCAUGAUUGGUUAUUAAAUCGAAAAAGUUACCUGUUCAUGAUUUAAUAGACAGAUUGAUGUUCAAACAAUGGUCGGUCAUAAAAUAUAUAUUUUAUAUAUUAAUAGAAUUAAAAAUAAUUGUAAAAAAUUAUAGGCGAAUAAAUUUUAUUGUUGAUAGCAUCUCCUUUAUUUGUCAAGUAUUUUCACAAAUUUUUUUACUGUAAAAGUCAACAUAUAUAAUAUCUAUAACAAAAUAUAGGAAGUUAUUUCUCCAUCACUAUAUAAAUCAACAUAGUAUUUACCAAGACAUUAAUAUAUGAAAUCCAUAUAUAAAAUAAUUAUCAAAUUCUCAAGAAGUUUUUAACACAUUAUCCUUGAUAUAAAUAUUGACCACAAUAUUUAAAUAAUUGAUAAAUAAUUUUUCAUAUCAAUAAAUAUAAAAUAUCUUGUCUUCAUUCAUCUCAAUGAUUAAAAUAUGAUAAUUUCAAAGCAACAUAUGGACCUCCAAAGUUUUUCAAAUCAAUCUCUCCUAGAGCCAUGCCAUCAUCAUCUUUGUCAUUUACAAAAAUAUUCAAUUAAUAUUAACAAGAAAAUCAUUUUUGAAAACAAAAUAAUUAUUAAAGAUUUAUAUGAGAAGUUGAACUUUGCGCUUCAUUUACUGGAAUUGAUCAUUUUUCAUAUAAAACCAUUUCUUCGUAGUCUAGCUCUCUUAGCUCAUCCUUCUCAACUAUCCAAAAUUCAGUCUCAUCAAUUCAUGUAUAAUUAACGAGAUCAUAGCCCAUUUCUCUUGUCGUAAAACCUAAAAUUGAUAAGCAUAUAAUCAUUCAAUUUUUUCAAAGCAUAUAAUAAUUCCAAUUGUAAUUAAAUAAUUUCUUGAUGCCCAAAUGAACCUAAUACAUGCCUUCCUACACAUCUCAUCGAAGUUCUUUCAUCACAAUCAACAAUACACAACAAAAACACAAGUAAAACCACAAGUAAAACCACAAGCUUUAUAAUUACGAAAUAAUCAUUCCAAUUUUUUAUUUUUAUUUUAUUUAUCCAAAAUGAUAGAAACUACAACAUUAUUUUUAUUAUUUUUGAAUAUCUAGAGUCUCCAGAAAACUUGCUAUUGACCAAAGUUUGCAAAUCAUGCUUAUGAUCAUGGAGACUUUUUAGUACAAUGAAUAUGGUAGCAAAGCAAGUUGCUCUAUGUCAUAGAAUCUCUGCCCAAAACAUCUUUGAUGCACAUCUAACUUAACAAAACAAUAUGAUUAUAUACAAAUAUUAUCACCUUUGAUGCAUGUUUUAUAAAUUCAACCAUAGGAUCCAAUUUAGCAAUAUUCUUAAAGAUCAAAUUAAGAUAAUGAAUUGUACAAGGAGAAUAAAUAACAUGUUUAUACUUUUAAGAAAUCAUCCUCCCUACAACCAUGUAGUUUGUUGUAUAAUUAGUGAGCAUAUGAACUAUAUUGUUUGAACGAACCCAUUCAACUAUCUUCUUAAACAUUUGAAACAAAUUAAUUACAUCAUUCAUAAUAUUCGAAGCAUCAAUGAAUUUCACAAAUGUCCUUGGGUAUAAUAAACAAGGAAGUUGAUGCGUAUUCUUUGUUUAUUGUCUACCUAACCAUCACUCGAUGUUGUACACUCAACUUUUGCCUAAAUUCAUGAAGAGUUUAGAUGUAACUGAAAUAUCCUUUAACAAAUUAAUCCAUAAUUGAUGGUAAGUUAGAACCUAAUGUCUAGAACUAAUUGCACCUAUAGCUUCUAACAUUGCUUUGAAGUAAAAGGAGUUGACAAUAUUAAUUAUUAGAAAUGUGUGCAUCAUAAACAAUAUCUUCUAAUGAUCAUAUCUACUUCCCAAAUAGUUUUAUUUAUUUAUUUAUAAUUAUUUAUCAAUUAAUAUACUCUUAAUGGAAGGUUGAACUCUUGGAGUAGUUCUUGGUGUAAGAUACUUGUUUUUUUUUUUCUUUUUCCACUACUUAUUAGUGUAGAAUUCUUGAAACUUUUCUUCAUAUUCUAGUUUAUCCCUUCAAAUUGUGAUAUGUUAGGGUCAUAUGCAUGUUCAUAUUUGUAAGCUUCUUGAGUUGUCUUUUUAGAUUUUACAAACUCUUGCAAAUAAUUUUCCAUUUAAAAUCUAACAUUAUGAGAAACAAAUUUACAUGGUCCAAUAUCACCUUUUAUUCCAACAAGGUGUUGUUUCUUUUUAUGAAUUCCUCACCUUUCAUAACCUUUUAGUAAUACAAACACAUAAAAGCUUUUUUUCCAUUUGCAUAUCUUUCUUUAGAAACAUGAACCCAUCCAAUGACAAAGAUUUGUGCAUGCCAGGAAUUGAAUUGUUAGGAGCUCCCACGAUAAGGACCUAUAUAGUUAGGACUCAUCGACUAUUCAAGAUAUUAUGUUUAGUACAUACCCUGAGCCAUAUAAGAUAUUCUACGCAAAUAUAAUACCCCGCAAAAAAGACUUAUAAUUACCAUGAGCAUAUUGACUCCCUCUAGGCUAUAAAGGAUUCACCAUCUAGGCUAUAUAGGAUUCAAAGAUUCAUUCUCCCUUGAAGACAUGAAUGCAAACAUGGACAUCCUUGUUAUAGCCUAUGGGAUUCAUGGGUGGCCAAAUGACUAAAUUUCACAUAUAUUUCUUCCCUCAAUGUAUUAUUCACUCUCUUAUAUGAACACUCCCAAAUUAUAUGAGAUAUCACAUUUGUUUUCUAAUGUAAGCACAAACUUUGCAUAUUUUUUUCUUAAGGAUUGACUUAAGGUCAUGACCAUGUAUUGUUUGCUUUCAUCAUACUCUUAUAACAUAAAAAAAAAGUUUGAGAAAACUCUCUCUCUAUGUGAUGAGAGAUAUUAAAUUAGAUUUAACAAAAACAUUUAAAAGUUGAAGUUUUUAAGUCUUCAUUUAGUUUAUAUUGCAGAAUAAAAAAAUGAUAACUCAAAUAUAUGAAUAUAUGGAAGCAAAAAUUCAAAACUUGGACAAAGUCUGCAGAAAAAAAACAAAAAAAUCAAAUUGAAUUUACAACAUCUGGAUGAAUCCAGAAUUUUUAUUUUAAAUCAGAAAUUUAAAAGUUUGGUAAAAUUUGUCUUAACUUCCUCAAACAAUCUAAAUUUUCUACGAUCCAAAUUUGGCAAAGGUUAGACUGGAGAAUUGUGUCAGGGGUGGCUGCCACAUAAAAUCGCAUUGAAUGAGAGAGAGACUUUUUGAUGGCCAUAGAAGUUGUGGGCCACAAUUGGGCUUGACUUUGGGCCAGAAGAACUUCCAAAUAUUCCAAAGUUUGCCCGACGAUGCAUCCUAACCAUUUAUAUGAGCAUUUCUUCUUUCUUCAUUCCCAUGUUAGUUUGGUCGUUGUUGAACGGUUCUCACUUUUCAACAUAAUUUCAAUGACUCAUAAUGAAUGGCUUCCAAGUGGGGAGAGAUUUUUUGAAAGGGAAAAAAAGAGUGGGGGAAACCGUAAGAUGGGGGAGUCGCCAUGCCUGCCGUCUCUCCCACCCUCUUUUACUUUCUAAGCCUUUUUUUUUACUUCCAAAGCUCUUAGGUUUGAAAGUGGGAAAAACUUUAAGAUCUGUUUCUAGUUAUUUAAAAAUUUUAAAACUGUUUGGCCCGAGCCUUUAGGGAUGUAAAUAAGGUUAAUUUAGUUAGUUUUUUUGAGUAAAAAAUGAAUCGAACCGAUAUAAUCAGUUUAUAUGUGAAAAAAACUAAACUGAUUGAAAUAAAAAAUCGAAUCAAACAAAGUCUUUUAAGGUUGUGAUAGUUUGUUUCAAUUUUCGUAGAUUGGUUUGAAUCCAACUUUUUCUUAGUCCUUCGCCCAAUUGUGGGUUUGAAUCCAACUUUUUCUUAGUCCUUGACCCAAUUGUGGAGUUUUUGUUUUAAACCUAAAACCCAUUAAUUUGAAUUUAUAUAAGGUGUUAAAGCUUAAUUUGUUUUUAAAAUUAAUUCAAAUCAACUUGGAUUUAAUGUUAAAAAUAUAUUGAAUGCAUUUAAAAUUAAUUUGAUCAUAAUAUAAAAUAAUGAAUUGUUUUAAUAUAAUCAAAUAUAAAAACACUUAUCAAAUAUCAAAUAAUUAUAUGUAAAUUUUAAAAUGACAGUUUAGUUUGAUUUUAUAUUAGUUAGAAGACAAGAAAAUUGAAUACUGAUAAAAGGUCGAUUUUCAAAAUUCUCAAAUCGAUCGGUUUUGAUUGCUUUGUGGAUUUUUUCACUUUUGCAUACAUCCCUAACUAUUUUUUGAAGCGAUUUUUUAAAAUAUGGAGAACAAUUUAAAAAAACCUACAAGUAAAAUAAAAUACGAUCUCUUUCUUUUUUUCACUCUUUAUCUUCAUUGAAGAUACUAGAAAUCCUCAAAUACAAUCUCCCUUUGAAAUAUUAUAAGAGUUUAUAUAUAUAAAUUUUCUAAAUUUUUAAAUUAAGUAGCACUUAAUACGUAUGAUCUAUUAAUAUUCAUAUUAUAUAUAUAACGAUUUUAUUAUAAUAUCGGUACAAUAUUUUACUAAAAAAAUAUUUAUUUAUUUAAUUUAUUUAUGAUCAAUUACAAAUAUAUUUUAUUUUUAAUAAGAUUUGAAUUAAAUUUAAUUAAUAUAAUAUCAAUUAGAUUUACAAUUUUUUUUUUUAUGAAAUCAAAGUAGAAGAACAAUAGUUUAAAAGCACCAAAAAUUUAUUUACCCAAAGAUUUUUUUUUGUUUUUUGAAAAAUAUUUUUAAAACAACUUGUCAAAUAGCUUAGACAUUAAAAGAUAUAGAAAAUUUAUUAACAAAUUUUGAAAUAUGGUAAAUUGAAUCUUUUGAUCAUCCAAAUUUUUUUAAUUUUUUAAUUUUUGUCUAAUCCCUUCCAUAAAAUCUUGCCAUUUUUUUCAACUCCCCGAGACUCUAAUUCAAUCAAUCAUCAAUCAUCAAUCAUCAAUCACAUCGACUUUACACCUCUAAAUUUCUUAAAAUUGUAAUUAAUAGUUACUACUCAAUCAUCCAAAGUCAAUCAAAAUUAUCCAAAAUCCCCAAAACCCUAAAAACCACAAUCACCCAUUACCAAAGUAGAUAACAAAACGUAGUUAUCCCAUAGGCAUGACCAAUCGGAUGCAAUAAAAAAUGGUUACGUACAAUAAUAAGAAUCAUCCACAAAUAAAAAAAUAAAAAAUAAAAAAUAAAAAAAAUGACUCAAUUGAACUUGAUUGGUACCAAUUUGGAAUUUAAUUUCGGAUGAUGUGGUUAAUGACACGUGGAUUAAUAUAUUGUUAAAAUAUAAUUUCUUAUAAAUAAUUUUGAUAUUGAAAAGUAGAAAAUGGAUUAACACAAUUAAGUUGGUAUUUAUUUUUUUUGCUAAAUAAAAAAAAAUUAAAAUAUUUAAUUUUUUAUAUUUAAUUAAAAUUAAUUUAUUAAUUUCUUAAUAAUAAGUUCAUUUUAAUUAUAUUGAUUAAUAUUAAUAAGAUGGUUUUAGCUGAAUAAAAAAAAUUAAAUAUUUUAAUUUUUUUUGCUCAAUCAAAAAAUAAACACCACUCAAGUCUAAUACAAGGAAAAAAGAAGUUUUUUUUUCUUUGAAUUUAAUUUUAAAUAUAAACUAGGCCUUAUUAAUUAAUUUUUCUAAAUUAUAUUAUUUUUUGGAGAUAUACUUGCAAAUAUUUUACCAAUUUUCUGACUUGUAGUAGUAGCAAAGAUUAGACCAAAUAAAUUCAACACCUAUCCAAGACUGAGUCAAAGGUGGGCCACAUGGUACCCCCCAUUUAUAUCUGGUCCGGCCCCUUUAAAAAAAAUAAAAAUAAAAAAAGAAAUUGGCCCAAAUAUUUAGGCUCGUUAUGUCUGAGAUGUCAUGUCAUACAUCUGCCCUAGAUUAGUAGAACGCUAUUAUAAACAUGAAGUCCAUGCACACAAAGUAAGGUUACAAGGUCUCCCAAGUAUUUAUUGUAAGUUUUUCAGUACUAUACUGUAACUAUAAGCUUCAGCUGCAGCUGCAGGCUUCUGUUCCAUGUCUAUCUACAGUCAUAAACAUGAGGUGGAUCGAUGGCUGACUCCACUAUCGAUCUCAGCUCAUCCCAGUUUCCGCUUGUGAAGAAUUGAUCAUUUCCAUUUGGGUUCCAAAAGCUCGAGUAUGGUCCACUGUAUGGUGAAACAAAUGAGCUCAUUUGGCCGACAACCAACUGGCUUCUUUCAUCGAUACUGCUGUCGACAACAGUGCUGUUCUUGGUCCGAGUGGUGGAGUUUUCAAAGCUCAAGUACUUGUCAUUGUUGUCGGAUUCUAAACUACAGGUCUUGGAGCUUGAAUCAGUGGCAACCUGUUUGUUUGAUAUUGAUCCUUUCCCUUCAGGUGUGUAUUUCCUAUAAGUUGGGCUUCGUUUGAAAAUUCGACAGAGUGUCCAGACUUCCUGCGCAUGCAUUGAGAAAAAUGGGUUUCAGUUCAGUUUGGUGAUCUGGCUAAUUUGUAGAAAAUUUAAGGCAGUGGGGAUGCAAUGAUUUUAGAGUUCUGAAUUUUCUUCCUAACUGCUGUGAAUUAGACCAUUAAUAUUAGGACAUGCAUACAGUUCAACUAGUUUGACUAUACAGAACAACUAGACAUACUUCAUGACGAGAGAAGAAAAAGACAUAUCAAAGCUGAAAGCAGAAAGAUCAACGCAUUCCAAAUCCUAAUGACAGUUUAGAAAUAAUAGAAAAAUAAUGUGAGUUGGAUCUGACAUUCAUGUGAAGUAAGCAAGAAGAGUCUAUUGAAGGUAUAUAAAAAGAAGAAGAAAAUUAUGAUUACUUAACUAAAAUGAAAUGGAUAAAUUUUGAAAAUAAUCAACAUGUUGAAUAAUCGCCACAAUUUUAAAUCCCCGUGUACUUUUUUAACUUUUCUUCUUGGAAAAAAUAACUUCCAUGUGCACAAUUUCGUGCGAAGGUGCGUAUUAGGAGAAAAAUCAGAUGGUCGCCCGAUGUUUUUCUCUUCCUCAAAUUAGUAAACUAAUAGAUGCUUAAAAAAUGAUAAGGAUGAUAAUAUGAGUUGUAGAGAAAAAAUUUGUCAUUGUUUCAUCGUUAUAAGCUGAUUAGGUUCAUGUAUAGAUUUAAAAGUUAGUUCUAGUUGAACACAAAGUAUCACAUGAUGGACUUCACCAUCUUAGGCACAGCUUCAAUGCAGAUCUUGAAGGAUUAAACUAGAGAAUUAUAGGACUUGAGGAGAGCCAAAUCCAUCUUUGGACAAUUUGAGAGUGUUUCAGAUUGAAGAAAAAAGGAAAUCUAACCACUUGAGUACAGAUACAAUGCCCAUAUUUAUGCAUGACAAUUGCUAGUUCUUUCAGAUACAAAAAAAUAUUGUCACAGCUAAGUUGUGGAGAAAGUUAAGGGAAGAAUGAAGUUUGAGAAAAAUCUUACAGCUUCUUGAGUGACAUUCUUUGCAUUGGGGAAGUAGGUGCCUUUCCCACCUGGUGGGAGGCGGAACUCAUGCAUCAUCCAAUCGGUUUUGGUGCCUUUUCCAGCGCUUCCACGGUAGUAGACCAAGGAUUUCUUCAGGCCAAUGCACUCAUUGGUUGCUUCAACAGAAUAUAUAGGCUUGUCAAUGCCUGUGGCUUUCCAAAAUCCGGACCCUGUGACUCGAUUAGGCCUUAUGCUGUUCCUAUACUUUCUCCCUCUUAUGCAGAAGAAGUACCACUCUCUAUCUCCCAUGUUAGUGCUGACUCCUUCAUUUUCAUAAAAAGACUUCGAGGUAAGAAAUUAGGGCUAAAGCUAAUAGGAGGCAUGCAAAAAUAUUAGUAUAUUUUAAGCCUGGUUACUCUAGGCUUUCAAAUUACAGUUGAUGAUCAUACAAAGGUUCAUUAUUGAAACAAGCUUUAAGGUUUAUUAUUCUUUUGAAGGGAGCUUACUGUGAAACAAGCUUCAAAUUCAAAAUAGGGAAAAGGGUAUGUAAACUUAUGCUGACUCUAGCUAGCAUGCAUCCUCAUUGCCAUGAGGUAAGGGACUAUUUGGUUGAGAAGAUGGAGAGAAGAUCAAAAGAAGACAUGGAAUUUCACCCCAUUCCAGCCCAAAUAACUUCUCGUUGGAACUAAUUGCUGCCUCUUCAACCUUCAGUUUUCUUGUAAUUGUGAAAUUAUAAUAAAACAUACUCUAAAAACUUGAAAGAAAUGUUUAUAUCUAAAUAUUGUCAACUAAGUAGAAUCAUGUUCCUGUAAUUUCAGUUGCUUCAAGCUUAUUGAAACACCUAGCCUCCAUGAUCAUCAAUAUACACUCCUUAAAAUUCCCAUAUACCGCCUGCAGCCACAGAUGUUAGCAUCACCAUCAUCAUCAUCUCUCUUUCUCUGCAUGUGCAGUGUUGUACGGACUGCAGGUUACAAUAAGUUGUUAAAAGUUUGUUUGCGUGCAUGCAAGGCUACUCUCACCACAACCACUUGCCCAUACAUGUCACUAGGUUCUCACCCCGCUAUCUUUAUAUGUUCUUCCUUUCGUAUAUCUAAAUACGUAUUUCUUUGCAGCAAAGUUGGCUGUGAAUCUUUUCAAAUUGUAGCAACUCGAUUCAUCUCAAAUUGAUGGCUUCCAAAUCAUGAUUUCAUCGGAUCAAUAGAGAAAAAGAGAGGUACCUGUUUUGAUUCUUAAGCCACCUAAGUGAAUUUUAAUGGGAAAGGAGAAAAAGGGAUGAAAUUAUAACUUACUUGGAAGAUCCCAUGGAUCAUAUUUGUAGAUAUCCACCUGUUUGAUGAGUUCAAGACUGAUUGGUUUCUUCUCCACCUUCCGCCGCAGAUAAAACCCUACAAGUUCUUCAUCAGUAGGAUGAAACCGGAAUCCGGGGAGCACGACUUCUUCAUCAUCAUCCUUCUUGUUGUCUAAAGUGCUAGUCUUCUCCACCUCCAUCCCUCUCUUUCUCUUCCCCGCUCCUGUUUGUCCAAGCUUUAGGUUAGACUCAACUAGAACCUUCUUAUAAUGAAUAUAUUUUUGGUGGUGGUUGCCCAGGUCAAGGCUGUGAUAUUGAUUCUCAUUAAUCUUGAGGGCAAAAGGGUCUUGGAAGAAGUCUCCAUUUGUUGAUAAUUCAAUAGCCCAGUGAAAGACACUCAAGUAAAUGGUUUUUAUUUGGUCUCAAAAAGGUUCAUGGUGGAACUUGGAAGGUAAAAAAGAAAAUUAUGUGACGGAUCUUUUUGAAACUGUAGAAGUAUUGCCUUACACAAACUGUUAUAAAAGUCUACCAUGGGCCAUGAAAGUGACUCAGAAAGAGCCAAACCUGUAUAGACUUGCAUUAAAGGAGAGAGAAAAUCAAAGGAGAAGCUUUCAAAGACAUUAUGGGUGGAGGAAAAUUAUGAAAAAGAGCGCUAUCAAAGGAGAAUCAAGUCUAGAAGAUAUAUUGACAAAUUUGAAUUAUUAUUUCACCCAUAUAUACAUAAAACAAUCUUUUGCCCUCCAUUGUAGACUGGAUUUUCAACUUUCAAACAAAGUGCCCACUCCCAAUGAUAGUUACCCAUGAGCUUAAUUACCUCAAACAAUUUUUUUUUAUACAUACUGUGGUAGAGAGAGACUUAUAUUUGGAAAAAAAGGGUUUUAUUUAUUUUUUUAUUUUUUUAUUCACCGUAAGGCUGAGAAUCAAUGAAGCUUUUGAUCAGAAGAGCUUAGCCGGUGACUUUUGACAAAAUGUUGCUUUGUGUAAGCUGUCCAAUUAAGAAUUUGUGAGUGAAUGGGGUUCUGGAUUUGGAAUUUUCCGGUAUGCCCGUGUGGAAGUCAUAAUACUAAUGCUGUCUUUCUUCCAUUCUUUCAUAUUUUUUGUUUUUGGUCUAGAAGGAAGCCAUGUUGCCUCUAGAAAAUAAUGUUAUCUUUGUCCUAUAUAUUAUUGGUCAAUUGCUAAAAUAUUAAUACUUAAUUGAUCUUAUGUUGUGCUUAUUUGAAUUAAGAUGGAAAUAGUGUUGUAAAUAUUUCAUUAUAAGGUGCAUUUUGCAUGGAUGAAUUUGAUAAGAAAUUAUUUUUGGAGCUUAAUUUGAACCCUUCCACCCAUUUGCAAUCCACCCCCAAAAAAGUUAUAUCUUAAUUCUUUCAUCUCCCUUUCCUCAUUUUCUUCCAUUCCCUACUUCAAAUUUGGAAAAAGGAAAAGGGAAAUAAAAAGGGGGUAGUAUGGCUGGCGGCCAUGGUUGCCCUGAGUCAAAAGGUUGAAGAAGAGAGGGAGAUGUAUGUUGUGUCCAAAGGAAUGCAACCGAGCUCCUCAAAUAUAAAUCCUACCCCUUGGCUCUUUGUUGUGCAUUUCCAAAUAGUCCAGUCUUCGUUUAUUGAGGUGAAUUUUCAAAGCCAUGUUUGGAAGUAAAAAAUGGAACAAUAUAUAGAUGAAAAUAACAUUGAAAUGAUUCAUAAAGGGAUAAAAAGAUUUAGUAUUUAUAAAUAUAAUAUUUUUCAUUUUUUGUUUCGAAAAAUAAUUUAUUUUUGACAUAAAUGCCUUUUAAUAUAUUGAUUAUUUAUAUUUAUGUUUUUUUUUUAAAUGUUAUUUUUGUAAAAAGAAAAUGAAGAUAUUUUUAUACAAGACCAGUUUUUUGUAGGAUUAGAAAAGGUCAAAGACUGGAUUCACACGAUGGUUUCCUUGACGUGACGACUGUAUCAAAAGUUAUGAAGGAACUUAAAAACAUUUCAUUUUCCCACUCCCACUUGAUGGGGGUCUUUAUCAAGUUACAAAGGUCCUCAAAAACAUUUCAUUUUUUCAGUCCCACUUGAUGUGGAUUAGGUAAAUAAAUUGAGGUUUUUUCCAUUAUUUGAAAGCAACAAGAGAUGUCCCUUACCACCUGGAAAUUGCAAAUUUUCAACAUUUAGAUGGUUUUUUCUUUUUGUCUUAAUUCGAAGAGACAAAGAAAAAAAUAAUUUAGCAUAUUUUUAAAUAUCUCAAAAUAUCAAAAUUUAUUAUAAUAAUACAAAAUUUAAAAAUUAUUAUGAAAUAUUUAAAAUUAAUUGAUUAAAAGGAUGAAAAUAUCUUAUAUUUGUGAAUUUAAUCUUUUUUUUUAAAUAAUCUAUUUUUGUCAUAAACUCUCUUAAUCCGUUGAUUGUUUACUUGUGUGUUUUAAAAAAAAAAUGUUUUUUUAACAAAAAAAAAAAAUGAUGAUAUUUUUGUUUGAACCGAGUAUUUUUUAGGGUUAAAGAAGUUAAAGAAUAGAUUUAUAAAAUGGAGAAAAUGAACAUCAAUUAGCUUCCAAUGAUAGGAUUUAUAUUGGGGUAUAUUUUGUAACACUUUAUUUUUAAUUAUUCUUCAUAUUUAUAUAAUUAUUUUUAAAAAUAAUAUUAGAAAACAAGAAAAAUAACUUGUUUUUAAUACACAUUCUCAAAAACCUAUGUUUUGUUAAAUUCCCCCCCCCCCCCCCCCCAAAAAAUUUUAAAAUGGUUUUUUUAAAAAAAAAAAAAAAAUAAUUUUUCAAAAAAUUUCCCCCAAAGUUUUUUUUUUUCGUCCCCCCUUAAUUUUAACCCGAAAACAAUUUAAGGGGAAGUGAAAAACCCGGUGGGGGUUUUAAAAUUCCAGGAGCCCUCCCCCCCCCCCUUAAAAAAAAAGGACCUACCCUGGCCAAAAAAACUGAAAAAACCUUAAAAGGUUUGAAAUUUUUCUCCAAAUUUUUAAACCCAAACCUGGUCCCCCGAACCAUUUUUUUAAAAUCUAAACAAAAUUUGAACCCUCCCAAUUGAUUUUUCCAAAAAUCCCACCCAAUUUUUGACCCGGGAAAAUGAAAGGGCUGCCUGUUGUACAAAGGGGUGGGGGUUANNNNNNNNNNNNNNNNNNNNNNNNNNNNNNNNNNNNNNNNNNNNNNNNNNNNNNNNNNNNNNNNNNNNNNNNNNNNNNNNNNNNNNNNNNNNNNNNNNNNUUUAAAUUUUUCUUCAAAUUAAAAAAAUUUUUUUAAAAAAUAAUUUUAAAAACCAAAAAAAUUACUUUUUUUUUAAUACCCUUUCUAAAAAACUUUUUUUUUUUAAAUUUCCCCCCCCCCCCCCCCCAAAAAAUUAUCAAAGUGUUUUCUUAAAAACAGAAAAGAAACUAGUUUUCAAAACAGUUCCACACAAUGUUUUUGUUUUCAGUCAGCCUUAAAUUUGAGCCUGAAAGCAGUUGAGGCGGAUGUGAAGACCCGGCUGGUGCUUUGAAAUUCCAGGCAGCCAUCCAGCCCCACAUGAAUAGAAAGGUACGUACCAUGCACAGAAAAGCUGACAAAUCAUUAAAUGUUCUGAAUUUAUCGUCAAAUUAUUGAAUCCAAAGCUUGUUCCCAGGAUCAAUUAUUUGAUAGUCUAAUCAAAUUCUGAUCUCUCCGAUUGAUUUUUCACAAAUAUCCAACCAAUUUUUGGACCUGGAGAAGUGAAUGGCCUGCCUGUUGUACAAAGGGUUGGGGUUGAUCCUUCAAUGUGAUGAUAACUGACGUGUUGACUAUAAUUCUCAGGUUGCUAUAUUCAUACUCCACAAUAUUGGAUGCCUUUAAAUGCUCAUGUGCAUAGGUGUCUGAUACUGUACCACACGAUUGUACGUUCAGAAAGUUUGUAGAAUUCAAAACCCAAAAUUCAUGUCGGGUCAUAGAAAACCCGAAAAGAAGUGUCUCUCUCUAUAUGUAUAUAUUUUCCAUGCAUUAACUGUGGUUUGAUUUGAUAUAUCUUAAAUAAAUAUAAAAACAUAUCAUGCAUGCAUUUUAUAAAAAUAAUGAUUUUUUGUUGCAUUUUCUUCCUACUUUUGUUGAAUUAAUUUAAUAAUUUAAAUUUAAUUUAACUUAAAAUAAAUGGUUAUUUGAUAAAAAGUCAUUGAAAACCAAUUUUAAAAAUAUAAUAUUUUAUCGUUUUUUGACCCAAUUUUGAUCAAAAUGCCCUAUUAUUUAUUUAUUUAUUUUUUGUAAAAAUAACUAUUUCUUUUAAAACAUAUUGUAAAUACUUGAAAUAGUUAAAGAAAUUUAUAUCAAGAAUGAGUUACUCUUCAAACAAAAAUAUGAGAAUGGAUAAAUUCACAAAAAUAUGGAUAUGAAUUCAAAUUCUAUUUGUCUUUGUUUGUUGGAUAUGAAUCUAAAUUCUAUCAAUCUCUAUUUGUUGGAUAUGCAUUUAAAUUUUGUCUAUCUUUAUUUGUUAUAUAUGAAUUCAAAUUCUGUCCGUCUUUAUUUCUUCUAUGGUUUUAUGUUUUCUUCUGUCUCUCUUCCUUGAUUUUUCAUUCCUUGAUAGUUUUAUGUUGACUUUUUUUUUUUUUUUUUUUGAUGGUUUUAGUUUUGUGUCUUCUUCUUCUUCUUCUUUGUCUUCUUUUCUUUUUCCUUGAUGGUUUUAGUUUAAUAUCUUCUACUAUUUUUUUUUCUUUGAGCACAUACCUUUCUUUUAUAAUCAUAUUUUCUUCCUUUAAGCAUAUACAUUUUCUAUUCCUACCCUCAUAAUGUCUUUAAGUCAGAACUUGUUCACAUCGAUCUUUUAUUGGAUGAUACAUAUAGUUUUCUUAUAAAUAUUGGUACUUUGGUUUUUGAGUGUGAUUGAUUACUACCAAAAAGUGCUAUUUUGUAGACCUAAUUAUAAUGGUUUUAAGCACCUUUGAGUAGUAAUCAUAUUUAUUUAACCCAAUUAAUUCAUUAAGGUCCUUAGUAAUUGGUUUUAACCAUUUUGUGGCAAGUUUACAUGUUUUUAUCAGCUUAUGAAUCAAUUCAAGCAUGCCAAAUGAUGGAGGAGCUACUUGGACAAGUUAUGGCAAAGCUUUUGGAAGCUCAAAUUCAUGAAGAACCAAGCUUUGGAGCUCCAUAGCCCUUUGCCAAAGUCGUUCAAAGUAUGCAAGGAAAGAACAAUGGAAAAGAGGAAAAGCAAGCAAAGUGAAGAGAAGCAAAGAGGACAGCAGCUGCAGUCUUCUUUUGCACUUUUGGAGUACUUUCCGAAGUCCAUUUUCUACAUGCUAUAUACCAUUUCAAAGCUCUGGAAGUCAAGAAUCCAACGCUUUAAACCGUGUAUGAUUUGGAGUUGAAAUGAGGAAGAUAUGGCCUUCGGAAGCCAACUGCUCCAGGUUAUGCGAAAUUCGCAUAACACCUUCAAAAUUUGCAUAACCCAAGCGUGUUGCGAAUUUUCCUCUGCUUUUGCCGACUCCACUUUAGAUAUUUUCCUUUGUAUUUUGUGAUGUAAUUUCCCUUCUUAUCCUUGUAACUAACAAAUCGCAAGCUUUUGCUUUUGUAAAGACUAUAUAAGGGGUGGAAAUCACCUCUUGGAAUAUAUAGAAUAGAUAUUACGUUUAACACAGAGAAAUAUACAGAGCUCUCUUGUUUCUCUUUUCUCUUUGCUAUUUUAUUUUCUUGGAAGCCAAACAACCUCUGAGGGCUUUUCCUUAGAGGAUGAUUGGCUAAAACUUUUAGUUUCUCAAAGUAUGGAUGUUAUGUGAUGGCUUGGAUGCAAUCCCAUGGAAAUUUCUCGCACCCGGAAGGUAAGGUAGUCGUUUUUCAUUAAUGGUUCAUUAAUGCAAAGUUUGGUUUUUAUUUCCUUUGGACAACUUCCAACGGCCAAUACUUGAUAAGCUUUUGGAUUUCUAUCCAUUAGUUAUCUCAUACGAGUUAUUGGAAGGUGAGGUUUUCAAUUCCAAGUUUUUCAUUAAUCCGUUAGAACCAAUUUCAAUGGCCAUUGCAAGGUGAGUUUAUCACCUAGAAUGACUUUGAGUUGCCAAUAUUUGGUAAGCUUUUGGCUUUAGACCAUUAGUUAUCUCUUACGAGCCAUUUAAAGGAAGUCUAAGGUGAAUAACCAUUGAUGAAAUUCACUACCAUCUGUUUUGUCAUUUUAAAGGAUUAAAACUUGAUUUGCUAAAUCCAUACCAGUUCGGGAAGCAAGCAUCACCAUAGUUGCAACCCUAAACCGAGGAGCCUAUCCUGAGAUUUCCAAUUUGCAUAAGAGCCUGAGCAUAGCUAUCCUAUCUUUGAGAAACUUGUUUUUACACCCUUUCAUUUUAGUCUUUAAUGUUAGCUUAGAUUAGUUUAAAUCUUUCUAAAACAUUUACAUAUUCUUUUAAAGCUAACAUCCAUAAGAAAAUCACUUAUUUUCCUAAUUUGAAUAUCACUAGUGUUUGCGAAAACCCUUCCCAGUGAACGAUCCUAGAACCACUAUGCUAUAGUAGCUUGGCUACUUUAGUAAUAGUAUUUAAGGUAUAAAUUUUGUUGAUACGCCUUUAAAGCUAAGCUACCAUGAGUCGAAUCAGUGAUGCAUCUUCUUCUCCUUCUCCUACUACUACUCCCAUAUCUUUUGAAACAAUGGAUCCUUCUCCCUCACGUUCUUCUCAACAUCUUCCAAGCUAUGAUUGAAAAACUUUUUACUUUGCAUAAGAUAGAUACUUGGGAUUUGGUACUUUUACCACCUGUAUGGUAUAAAUUAUAAGGAGACUUUUGCUCAUGUUACAAAUGUGACUAAUAUUUGUACUCUUAUUAUAGUUGCUUCUAUUUUUUCUCUUACUUAGAUGUAUUGUGACAACAAAAAUACUAUUUAGAUUGCUCACAACUUUGUUUUUUAUGACAUAACCAAAUGUUGCGACAACGAAAGCUUUGAUGCCAACAAUGUUAGUUCAAGAACACAAAGAUAAAACAAUCACACAUAUGGUACACGAGGUUUUAACGUGGUUUGGCCAACCAUGCCUACGUCCACGGAUAGAGAGAAUGAUUCCACUAUACAAUAGAGAAUAUUACAGAGGACAGAACUAGAUACAAGUAUUGGGUUCUCGAAACAUCCCAUGUUUCCCCACUCCUUGUAUCCAUACCUUACUACGAGCCCUCUCGCUCCACCGGGUACCUCCUGUUCUUCUUCACAUCUCUAUCCACCUUGUAUAGUCUCUACAGGCCCAUCUCCAUCUCAUGACUUUUUCCCCUCAUGACCUAGAAUAUUUAUAGAGAUAUUUCCAAGAACCUUCCUUAUUCUAUAAGGAAGUCUAAUAUUAUAAUAAUAUAUCAACUUAGAAAUAUUCUAUAUAAUAUUCUUUACAAAAAAGGAAUCUAUACUAAUUAAGAAUUUGAGACACUUCCUAUCAAUCUCCACCUUGGACCAAAUUCCAUGAAGUUAAUCUUCAAUCUCUCCAUGACACAAACUUUUUUGUAUCAUAUCACCACGAAAGAGCAAUUGACUCCACCUUCAGUGAAAAUUCCUUUUGUUUUCAUCUUGUGUGCUUUGUGAUCUUUUACUCUUCCAGAAAUCUUCAACCCAAGCUUUGAUACCAGUUGUUGCGAUAACGAAAGCUUUGAUGCCAACAAUGUUAGUUCAAGAACACAAAGAUAAAACAAUCACACAUAUGAUACACGAGGUUUUAAUAUGGUUCGACCAACCAUGCCUACAUCCACGGAUGAGAGAGAACGAUUCCAUUAUACAAUAGAGAAUAUUAUAGAGGACAGAACCAGAUACAACUAUUGGGUUCCUGAAACAUCCCAUGUUUCCCCACUCCUUGUAUCCAUACCUUACUACGAGCCCUCUUGCUCCAUCGGGUACCUCACAUUUUUCCUCACAUCUCUAUCCACCUCGUAUAGUCUCUACAGGCCCAUCUCCAUCUCAUGACUUUUUCCCCUCAUGACCUAGAAUAUUUAUAGAGAUAUUUCCAAGAACCUUCCUUAUUCUAUAAGGAAGUCUAAUAUUACAAUAAUAUAUCAACCUAGAAAUAUUCUAUAUAAUAUUCUUUACAAAAAAAAAAAAUCUAUACUAAUUAGGAAUUUGGGACACUUCCUAACACCAAACAUAUUAAAAUUGAUUAUCAUCUCACUCGUUAUCACAUUCAACCUAAGACUCUUACUUUGUCUUUUGUUUCUUCUUUCAAAUAGAUUGUAAAUUUGUUCAUCAAGUUAGACUUGUUCACCUGCAUGGUAUGGAUUAUAAGGAGGCUUUUGCUCAUGUUACAAAUAUGACUAAUAUUUGUACUCUUAUUAUAGUCGCUUCUAUUUUUUCUCCUACUUAGAUGUAUUGUAACAACAAAACUACUAUUUAGAUUGCUCACAACUUUGUCCUUUAUGACAGAACCAAACAUAUUGAAAUUGAUUAUCACUUCACUCGUUAUCACAUUCAACUUAAGACUCUUAUUUUGUUUUUUGUUCGUUCUUUCAAAUAGAUUGCAAAUUUGUUUAUCAAGUUAGACCCAUUUUCGUGUUUUUGACUUUUGGUUCACAAACUUUUGAUGCUUCUUGCAACCGUAUCAUGAGUUUGUGAGGGAUUUUAGAAGUUAUUAAUACAUUUACAAACUUUUGAUGCUUCUUGCAACCGUAUCAUGAGUUUGUGAGGGAUUUUAGAAGUUAUUAAUACAUUUAGUUACUAUAUAUUUAUUUAUUUAGUUACUAUAUAUCUUAUUUAUUUAGCUACAAUAUUAUAAUUAUUUUCUUUCGUUUUAGAAGUAAGAGUUAAUUUUUUUUUUUCGAAUCUUUUUUGGAUUUCAACAAAUAUUACAACUAAGUUACCCUUUAUUCAUUAGUCUUCAUUCAAUUCAUAUUAAUAACGAAAUUUUUUAAAAUUCCCAUUAUAUGAAAUGUCUAAAAAGAGAAAAACAUGCGAAGAAAAAAAAGUUCCAAUUUUUUUUUUUAGUUCUUAUAUUUUAUCAAGCACUUUUUGGAUAAAAAGUAAAAUUAUUAAAUGAGGUUAUAUAUGUAAUUUUUAAUACAUAAAAAUUAUUUUUUCAAAUAUGAGUAUUAUCCCAUCCUUUUUAAUAAAAUAUUUUUAUUAAAAAUAUAGUUUUUCGGUUUAAAAUAUUUGAUUGUUAUGCUAUCCUACACUUUGGACUCUUUUCCUUUAGAAAAAAGAAAAAAGAAAAAGAAAACAUAUAUAGAGUAUUUUUAAUACAAAUCAAUUAUUGAUUAACCCUCAAAACCUUUGCCACCAAAAAACUGGACAUAAUACUCAAACUAGGUUUAAAUCCUAAAUACAAAAAUAAAUUUGAAAAAGAUUUUGGGUUAGGUGGAAAAUAGGAGAUAAUUAGGCUUUAUUUGACAAUUAUUUUUUAGAACAAUUUUUUGUUUUUUAAAAAAAGAAAGGGAAAACAUGCUUGACAACAAGAAAAUUGUUUUCUAUAUUAUGAAACAUGGUGUUUUCUAUUUUUAAAAUAGAAAAUAUGAUGUUUUAAAAAAAUAUCUUUUAAUUAUUUUCAUUUGUUUUUGUUGGAUUGUUUUAAAAAAUAAUUAUAAAAACAUGUAAAAUGAAAUAAAAUACUAAAUAUAAAAAUGAUUUUUAAAAUACAUUUAAAAAUAUUAAAAACGGAUUAAAAACGUACAUCUUAUUUCCGAAACAAAUUUUUAUUUUAUAAAACAUUAGAUAAUAGUUUUCAAGAACCGUCUUUAAAAACUAUUUUCGAAAAUAGUUAUCCCUCAAACAAGAUCUUAAUUUCAUACGAGACCGGUAAUGUGAAUCAACAAAAUAGACAAACACACAUUUAUCUUUAAUUAAGAAUGUUUUUGUCCCAUGCAGAACUAAUUACAUUAAACUUAGCUAUCAUGCACCAUGUUUUCCUGCCGGUAAGUCAUUUAAGCUGCCAUGCGAACCACGCUCCGCCGACCUCCAUCACUCACAAUAAAAUUAAUCAUUCAUAAUAUUCAGAAGAUAUAUUAAACUGUGAGCAAUUUCAACAUGUAAAAUCACAUGGUAUGACUAUGAGAUUUGAGUUCUCUUUAUCACAGUGGCCACAGCAAUUAGUAAUUGUACAAAUGUCUUCUUACUGAACCUCCUUUUCAACGCACGAUCCUCUACAAAAUAAAACGAACAGUGUCCCGAAAAUUAGACCAAGAAUAUUUCAAUGAUCAACAGCCGAAUUCACUGACUUGCCUUAGAUCUUACAAGUAAGAUUAAUCCGGCCAAGUCUAUGAACUGAAUGUUGGAGAACCACAGAGAAAGGAUGAAUGCUUUCAUAGGGAAAAGUUUGCUGGGGCAUAGACUUUUGGUUGGCGAGAGUUGCGCCGUAGACUCAAGCAUGGGCAAAUCUAAUUUUGGCGUCAAACAUGUAAGAAAAAAGAAUAUUUUGGUUUAGAUUUUCAAUGAAAAUGUGCUGAUGAAAAAGUCCAAGUCUACGAUCUUGUUGUGCUUCAAAUAGUGAAGUCUUAAAGAGAACCUUCCUCUGUUGUACAAAGUGGAAUCACAGCCUCUAGUCUUUGCGGGGUUGUCCCUACAAAAAACUGGUCCUGAAACAGUCUUACUUUGACCUUGGACGUCGUAUGACAUCAUGAAUGCCAAAAACUAUUUACUAUUAUUAUAUAAAUUUCAAUGACUUUCUAUGUAAGAUUUCGUCACAUGCAUGAAAAUUUGGCUUGGGGUGCACAAUUGGAUUUGUCGUGUUAUUUAAUUUUCUUAUUAAACACUUUGAUAAUAUUUUAUAAAUCACUAUAAUUCUUCAUCAACGAUACUAGUAUGAUAUAUAUAUUAAAUCCAAAUUCUAUAAAUUUAAACUUUUAGUUUUUUUUAAUUCAAUAUGGUAUCAAAAUUUAAUUUGACGAGAAACCUCAUAUUUUUAUAUAAAUUCAAAUUUUAUCUGCCUUUCCACUUGUGGGUAUGAGACAGGAGGGUGUUGAGAGUAUUAUAUGUAUAUUAAACCAAAAUUCUAUAAAUUUAAUUUAAAUUUUUUAAAAAAUUGAUAAUUCAUAUAUAUUAUUUUAUAAAUUAUUUUAUCUUUACAUUCUUAUAUUAAUAUAUUGAUCAUAUUAGACUUCUCUUUUAAGUAAAAUAGUAUCAAAUUGUUAUUAGCACAAUAAGUGAUAUCAAAGUUUUCUUUUUGUACAAUACUUUUAAAUAGUUAAAAGUAGAUCAUUUAAAUUAAAUACACAUGUAUCUUAUAAUAAAUUUAUAUAACUUUUUUUGGUGGCAUAUAGGAAUCAUGCAUCCAAAAUUUUAAGAUUUAGGUCAAUUUGAGAAUUAUUUUUGAAAACAAUUUUCCAUUCUCUAGUAUAAAAAACACAAAAAACAUGUUUGAUAACUGAAAACUAUUUUUUAUUUACUGUUUUUAAGAAUAAAAAAUAGGGUGUUUUCAAAUAAUAUCUUUUAGUUGUUUUUUUUUAUUAUUUUUACUUGUUUUUUGAAAGAAGUUUUGAGAAAUAAUUAUAAAAAUAUGUAGAAUGAUUAAAAAUAAAACAUUACAUAUAAAAGUUAUUUUUAAAAUAUAUUUAAAAAUAUUAAAAACAAAUUAAAAAUACUUUAGGUUUUCAAAUAGACUUUUGUUCUAUAAAAAUUAAAAAACAAAUUUUCAAAUUAUUUUUGAAGACAAUUACCAAACAACCCUUAAUUUUUUCUUCAUACUUUCCUUUCGAAAUAAUAUUUAAUAUGACAAGAUAAACUAAAUUGGUUUCAUUAGAGAUGUGGUGGCUAGUAUAAUGACAUGUAGAAACUUGUAGAGUAACUUCUAGUAUUAAAAUAACCAAACCUUUCCACAAAUAUUUAGGGUGGUUGUGAAAAGAAGUAUGUGUAGCUACAUUAUUGGACCCAAUAGGAUGCUCCAAAAAUGUUGCCUUUCGUGAUAGGAAUGCCCCUUCAAAAGUCAUAUUACUUGUACUACCAAGACACCACCACUAAGUAUUUAUCCAUAUCUUAAUCCAUGUGUGCAUGGAGAUGAACACAAAUAUAUAUAGAAAAGAUAAAUAUUAGAAGACAAGUCUCCACAAAGAGACAAAGAUAUGGAAGGCUUGGGUCAACCAAUCCCGCUAUGCGUGGCAAAUGUUUCAGGGGACUGCGUAGGAUUGAACAGCCUUUGCUUGAGGGAAGAUCAAUCUAUGGGUGGGAGUGAAGGCAGAACUGGAGAAGUAUUGGAACAGGUGGGUCACCUCAGUUGACUAUGAAACAUGGCAUUAGUCAACGCAAAUCUUGGCUUUGGAUCUCUACAUCGGUGCUGAAUAUUGUUGAACGGAAACACGUGGCCAGCUACAUUGGUUCUAGACAACAAUGGCUGCAACAAUUAACCUGAAAUUUAAAAAUUAUUGGUCCAACUUAGAAAGAUAGAUUUGAUUUAUGUGUGGAGAUCUUGAACAGCUCAAGUCAACCCCACCAAGUUAGCAAGAAAGUAAGGGUUGGAUUCUGUUCUUCAUGUGAGGCCUAGGCUCUCGGCUCUCCUUAAGAGCUAGGUUAGGCUUGGCUUGUUGCAUACUAAUUACUAGUUAUUAUUAUUAUUAUUUUUAUAAUUAUUAAGAUUAUUGAAAUUUGUAUUUAUAUUUUUUCUUAUUAAAUCAUUUUUUGUUUAAAAAUGAUUUUUUAUAAAUGAUUAAAAACUUAUUGUUUGAUGUUUUUAGAUAUUUUGGCUGUUUCAGUUUCAUAUUCUAGUUUAACAAUUUUAAUUUUCAAAAUUUUAAAGUAAUAAAGUUAAAAAUAUAGAUAUCUUAUAUUUAAAAUAAAGAAAUUAAAAUAAUAAGUAUUCUAUAUUUAAAGCCAUUAAUAUUCCUUAUAUUUUGUAAAAUUCAUUUUAAUCGUUGAAUUUGUUGAAAAUAAAAGAAUAUGACCAAAAAUAGAAUAAAAAAUAUUCAUGUUUUAAAAUAAUAGUCGGCUACGGAUAUGAAAGUUGAACGCAACUAUGUAGUCAUCGAGGGACAUUAUAUUAAAGGCAAAUUACAAUAUAUCAAAUUAGCAUCAUGCAAUUUGGACCGUUGAAAGUGCAUACUAAAAUUUAGAUCAUUGGAUAAAAGUAUAAAUAUAUAAGACCAAGUAUGAACAAAUGAAAUUGGGAAGAAAUAAAUGAGAGUAAGACAAAAAAAUACGAAAAAAAUUUGAAUAUAAAACAAUAAGACCUAAAAGUGCCUACAUAACAUGAUGUGAUCAUUUUUUGGCAUGUACACGGGUACUAUCAUGGGACCCUAUGUUAAAAUGUGACCAUCCUUGUCAUAUCAUCCAUUCCACAAGCAUAUAGCCCCAUUCACAUUCUCUAGCAUUCCCUUUCUUCACAGAGAAAAAUGACUUCUUAUCUUCUUUUGUAACAACCAUUUUUCAUGCGACUUUAUCAAACAACAACAGAGAAGCGAUCAACUCAAAUCUCUCUCCUUGAUUCAUCUUGACAUUAACUAGAGGCCAUGAGGACUAGGCCAUCCAUGAAGCUUUUAAUGUUUAAAAAUUAGAUCAAAAUUUGGAGCGGAAAGUUAAUUGAUUUUUCAAAUAUUGGCCAAAUAGUAAUGAAAUAUUGAUGGGUUUUUACAACUCCAUAUGAUGGAAAUUAUUGCAAGAUUUUGGAGAAAAAAUUGUCAAUGUUUUACCAUUUAUUUUUUUGAAUUAACAUGGAACCCUAAUUUUUAUUUAUUUAUUUAUUUAUUUUUGGUGUUGGCCUCCUACCAUAUUCGAAAAAUUCACUAAAAGUUUAGUGGAUUUUUCUACAUUUAAACCUUGCUCUUAAGCAAAGUCAUUUCUAGAGUUGGAACUUGGUAGGUGAGGUUAGGUUUAAAGUGUAUCCAAGCUCAUCAUGAGUUUUUAGCCUCCCAAUCUACAGUCUAAUAAAACCAAAUUUCUAAACUAAUCAUAUUUUCAACCCAAACUCUUUUUAGCUUGACCUACUUAGUUUAACGCUUGGGUUGGGUAGAUUGAGCAAAUUAGGCAAAUAAUGUUGAAAAUAUCGCUUUUGACAAAAAUUUCAAUAUCCAUAUUUUAUGAAAAUAUCAAUAAAUUUUUUGAUAUAAGUGGAAAUGAUUGUUGAGAUUGGAAAAAUUGACCAAAAAUAUGAAAUUUUUGAAUGAAAAUUUGAGAAAUGAUAUCAAACUAAUGAUUGAUGUGGUUCAAAGAUACUCAAGGAUGAAGGAUUACCAUCUUGAUUUAAACAUUAUUAUUACCACUAUAUGAACUUUGCGUAACAAUGAUUGUAGAUAGCAACAUGCCAAACAUAGGUAUUUGGAUUUCUUGUCACCACAUCUAUAUGUAUAGGAAUAAUUAUAUCCCAUAAUCAUCAUAAGUUGAUUUUAUUUGAAAUUGUAGACCUUGUCCAUAACUAUAAUUACAAGGAGAAAAAAUGUUUGUCUCAUUAUAUGAGUUAUUGUGUUGACUCCCUACACUCAUAUAUUCAAAACUUUCUAAAAAGAACUCCUAGGCAUCCUUUGUUAGGUCCCGAUGUGCCUCCUCCCUAUGUAAGGCUUCCUAAUAACCCUUAUUACUAAACCUACUAUUCUAUACCAAUGGUUUUCAUCUUAUGUGCAAUAGGUGAAGUAGGCUUCAUUAGUAAAUAGGGUCAAUCGUUGUUGACUUUGGUCAUAUUAUCCAACAUCUCCUCAUCAUCACCAUCAUCUCGAUCAUCUUGAUCAUUAUCAUUAUCACCAUCAUCAUUAUAAAUAUCAACUUCUUCGUUAUCUCUUUGAGGCAUCAAAACUAUAAGUUAGUUUGUGCAACACUCAUCAAUUCAAAGCUAAUAGGAGUAGGUUGUGUUGGCAGUCCAAUUAUCAGCUUAAACAAACCAACUCCACUUUUAGUGUCACUUCUCCCAACUUUUUCAAACAUAACUUUAUCAACAUUAAUUCCAAACUCACAAGCAUGUGCAACUACUUAAAUUUACUAAAACUUUUAUAUUUCAUGUGUAACUCACAUAAUUUAAAGAAGCAAGGGAAGGACUUAGUGAUCAAACUACAGUUACAACUAGAAAUGAAAUGGUUUCAAGUAAGUUGUUAUUUGUUAACACUAUCAAAAGUACAAUGUUGAAAUCAAACGACUUUUGAUUAUCAAUAUAUCAAUGCAUAUUAUGUUAUUUCCUUUUCUAUGGUUGAAUAGUGGUUUAUGUAUGGGAGCCAAACUUGUACAUUACGGAAGCUGGCAAUAAGAAUCUCAUCACAAAUUGUAUCAUCUUCAACUUGUGAGAGGAACCAAAGCACAUUUGUCCUUAUUCAUACAAAACAACAAAAUCAUUUUGCUUAGGCAAAGCUUCAAUAAUUGGUUCUUGUUAUUACGACAUGAAGAUAAAGUUAUAAGACACAGAGGUCAAACAAAAUAAAGUGGUGAAAAUAAACUUCUUAGAUUUUCUAGACAUCUCAACAAAGCCAAGAGAAUUAUAGGACCAAUUGUCCUAAUGGGUAAGGCAUGUAUACUUGGAUGAUGAACAUAGGAAUCCCAAAAUGUAAUGACAAUAGAAAUAAGUUUGUACUAAAAUUUCAUUAAAGCAUAGGUCUCAUUACCAAAUUAACAUACAAGAAAAUAGACUUUUAGUGACAAACUGAAAUAAAAUUUAUGUUUGCUAAAUUAAAAAAAAAAAUCUAAGUUGACAAGAAAAUUAUGAUAUAUAUAUUGAUGUAAAGAACAAUUGUUAUACAUACUUAAAUGAGUAUGAAGAUGAGUUAUUAGAUGUGUUAGCCCAAGGGUUCUCCUAAUCGAGUUUUGAUGAUAACAAACCAUGGUUAAGUGACUAAUUGGUUUGAAUGGUAAAGAAUCUUAGGUAUAAAUUCGGAAAUUCAUCAAAAGAUCAAAUGGAUACAAGAUCGAGACUUUUGAAAGAAUUUUGAUAAUAGGAAACGAAUGUAAGAUGAAUGCAUGGGCGCACUUAGGUUUUUCAUAUUGUUUCAUGCAUAUUUGAAAACUCAGUUUAUCCUUUAAAAUUUCGAUUUCAUUAAAACCUGAGUUUUAUCAAAUGUACCUUAGGUAAAACGUGUCAAAAUUGACAUAUUAUUUUACUUAAAGACCUUGCCUAAGUGUUAGAAAAGAAAUGAAUUGAAAAAGAUAGGUUUUGGGGGCCAACCGGUUACCCUUGUCCUAUCGAGGUUCGGUUGAAGAGUGCCAAAAACUCUCUCUCUCAUCCAGUAGCUUCCUCUUACCGAUUGAGGUUCACCUCUUCCCGGUCGAGGUCCGGUCAACCUUUGGUUGAGGCAACGAUAACCUGCUAAAGCAUUAAAUACUCCAACGGCUAGUGAAUUGGUCGACCCCUAGCUAGACCGAUCGAGGUUGCCUUUUGCUGUUUUUGGCUCCCGAGCUUAGAAACCUAUAAAUUGAGAGCUCCACUUCAUUUAUGACUUAGACAACACUUGCAAUCAAUUGUCUACCUACCUGUUUUUGGCCUAAAAACUCUCAUUUAUUUCUUAGUGCAUUAAAUCAUCACUUGCAUAUCUUUUAGUGCACCCUUGUGAGUCAUCCUAGCUUUGUUUUGUAUUUGAGCUAUCUUUGAGCUAGGUUGAGGGAUUCAUUCUUGUAAAAACUGAGUGUUAAAGCCUUCAAGAGGUUUGAAUCUUGAAGAGAUUGUGUAAGAGCCCAUUGAAGCCGGAAUCCAAGUGUAAGAAGAUUGGAAGCUUGAUUGAAGCUUCAAGCUAGUGGAACCCUCACUCAGUUAGGAGAUUAAGGAGAGUGGAUGUAGGCAAGGAAGUGUUGAACCACUAUAAAUUUUGAGUUUGAAUUCUCUAACUCUAUCUCUUUAUUUCUUGUUUAUAAUGUGGUUGAAUUUGUUGUAUUGAAAAAGUUUUUGAAAAACCCAAUUCACCCCUUUCUUGGGUGUUUUUUUCUCCUUUAAGCAUAGCUUUUAUUUUCUCAAGAUGCAAUGAGAUGGGACUAGGAUGUCCAUGUUAGACUCAAGCUUUUCAUAACACAAGAUGGUGAUGUAGAAAAAAAGGUGGGGGAUGGGGGAAGAUAGAAUUAUAUCUCAUAACAUUUGUAUGAUUUUGAAGUUCUCCAAACAUGAGUAGUAUUGCAAUUGCUUAUAUAGAUGUUUUUGCAUGCUUAAGAUUGAAGUUGUGGUUACAAUUUUAGUAAUGUAUAUUUGAUAAAGGUUGGUAAGUCCAAAAGUAAAGCACAUUAAUUAUGUAAUAAUCAUGAAGCAUGUUGUAUGUAAUGCGGAGAGUUAUAUGAGUUGAAGAGAGAUAUGAUUAGAUUUGAGAUAGAGUCAAAGAAUGAGCUUCUUUCAAAUCCUAAGUGCUCAACUAGCAUACCAACUAACUUACUAGCUUAGAGUUGUGAGACUUAUUUUUAUUUUAUGUCAUUCAUCUCAUCUCCAUUGCUUUCUUGGGCUAAAAAUGGUCCUCCAAAAAUUAGUUUGGAAAAGCUUUUGAAAAUCACAAAAAAGUGAGAGCAACUAUCCGUAUUCUUAAGCAUGAUAAUAAGAUUAAAGUUGAUGGUAAGACCAAAGUCCAUGGUAAGAGACUUGACCUUUAGCUAUGAGAUUAGCCAUUGAAAGGUGCUUAAAAUUCAGUAAAAAAGGAAAUAAAACCAAGAUUUUUCAAUUAGAUUUGCAAAGAAAACUAAAAAAGCAAAAUAAGGCUCAAAAGAGUUUUUUUUUUUUAGGGAAAAUCACUUCGUGCAAGAUAUCAAACACUUUGUAGUUCUCAAAGUUCCAUUUAAAAAAUGGUUCAAAGCAUCUUCAAAAACAUCAAAACAAAGGGAAAAAAUUCCCAAAAAAUUAACAAAAGAUGGUCAAAGACCUCAAAUCCAAAUGAGCCCCAUAUCAUGAUUAACUCAAUGAGCUUCAAAAGGAGAAAACAACCCAACAAAUGAACAAAAUCAAAUCAAGCAAGGCUUGAAAAACAACCGAACAAUAAAUUAAUUAAGAGAACAAACAUUUCAUCAAGCAACCAAAAUAAAAAAAAAAGAAAAAAAAGAAAAAGAGAAUCCAAAGAUGAAAAACAAAUAGCCAAAUAACACAUGUAGCCUUUCAAUAUCUACAACUAAUAUAUUCAUCAUCUCAAGAAUUAGAAGAAUAUGAAAACAAACUAAAAAUAAACUUGUAAAAAUGGAAUAAAUAAAAAAGAGCUUACCAGGUGAUUUCUUCACAAGUGAAACACUUGGCUUCUAGUAAGCUUCCAAUUCUUCUCCAAGCUAAGCCUUCUUUAAAGCUUUCUCUUCUUCUCACUCUUUCUUUGAAAUUUGAUAGAGUUUCCCUUCAAAAAGGUUAGAGAGAAAUCCCCUUAAAAAUGAGCCUCAAGGCCCUUAUUUAUAGGGCAAAGAACGGUAAACAUUUUAACACAUAUCAUUCUCCACCAAAGCCCUUAUGUAUAGACUUUUGCUAUUUUCACCAUUGUUUUCUAAAGAGAGGAACCCUAACCAUCCUCUAGAGAGGGAAAGAAACCCACCAUUUUUUGUGCUAACUAUGAAAGGAGAGAUUAGGUGGAAAAUCAUUGGGUAGACAAGUUUUAUGAUGACCACUACAGUUUCAAAGUCUUUAUUAGAUCAAAAUUGAUAUGGAAACAUCCAAAGAGCAUGUAUGAAGCUUUCUAAUUUUAGAUUUAUAUUUCUUUUGGUUUUUGAAGCCAUAAUAUUUUGUUGUGUUAGAUUUAGAGAACCCUAGGAUUAGAUGCAUGCAUGGUCCAGGGCUCAGAAAUGGAUCAAUCUAGAGUUCCCAACAAGAAAGGAAAAAAAACAACAAGGCUUAAAAAAGGGGUUGAAACGAAGUAAAAAAAAGAAAAAUUUGGUCAACAAACAAGAGAAUCCGUUAAACCGGUUGUCUCAAUGUAGACCCUCCAUUUUGUCUUACUAGCACAUGUUAUUAUAUGUGUUUCUAUUCACUUCUUGUUGUCUUAUAGCCAUUUCAUGGUGGUCUAUUGUCACUCAUUUGAUUUACUAUUUUUUGAGCCACUUUUGGAGAUUUAUUGUUGAUGGAUUUUUUAUGGACCCCAAAUGCAACCUUAGUUGCGCCUUAGUUUAACUUACUUACUGUAUUUUAGGUUUAGUUCACUCAAUUCCAUUCUUAGUCUAACUCACUUAGUUAGAUUUAAGUUGCAUUUUAGGUUUAGUUCACUUAGUUGCAUUUUUAGUCUAGCUCAUUUAGUUACAUUUUAGGUUUAAUUCACUUAUUUGAGUUCUUAGUCUAGUUCACUUAGUUACAUUUUAUGUUUAGUUCACUUAGUUGCAUUUUAGGUUUAACUCACUUAGUUGCAUUUUAAGUUUAAUUCACUUAGUUGCUUUCUUAGUAUAGCUCGCUUAGUUGCAUUUUUGGUUUAAUUCACUUACUUACAUUCUUAGUCUAACUCACUUAGUUGUAUUUUAGGUUUAAUUUACUUGGUUGCAUUCUUAGUCUACUUCACUUAGUUGCAUUUUAGGUUUAGUUCACAUAGUUGCAUUCUUAGUUUGACUUAAUUGCAUUUAAAAUUUAGUUUACUUAGUUGCAUCCUUAGUCUAGUUCAUUUAAUUACUUGGUUACUUUUUAGAUUUAGUUCACUUAGUUGCAUUUUAGGAUAGGUCAUCUAGAUUCAUUUUAGUUCAUUCCAUUUAGGUGCACUUUAGGAUAGAAUUUGAUGUCACCUUGCAUGACAUGUGCAUUGAAGGUCUUUGGGGAAUCUUGGGAAGGAUGUGCGCAACCAUAAGGAGAUUUAAAGAUAAGGAAAUAUUAAGAUUUGGGGAGUCUUUGAGAUGGAUCCUCUUUGGAUAUACAUGACCAUAAGGAAAAGAUAAGGAAAUGUGAACUCUUUGGGAAAAGGAAGAUAUGUGUGGACUUGCAUUUUUCACGUGCGUUCCCACUCAAUCGACGAGACUUACUUUUAUUGGUGAAAAAUUAGUUUUGGAAAAGUCAGAGUCGCCAUUUAUUUUAUUUUAUUUUUAAAAGGGAAAAUAAAACAAGAAAGAAAACCCUAAAUAAGUGACUCCAUAGUUUUUGGAAAAACGUGUCUUUAAAAAACUCGAGUCUAGAUCUGGGGAUCAAGUUAUCUAUUAGGAAGGUACCUCUAAAAGGUAGCACCCUUCUAAGACGCUCAAUGGUCUGGCUGUUUCCUAGAUGCAGAUGUGUUUCACCAAAGCUUUUUCUCCGAUGCGGCCGAACUCGAACCCCAUUUCACGUGCUCAAAAUUUUCUUUCCUUCGUGCGGUUGCUUCCUUCUCCAGAAUGCUGGAUCUUCCCCUUCCAAGUUCUAGAAUGGUGCAGUUGCACCUUUUCUUCUCUAAGGUGCAGAUACGUCUUUUCUUCUCUAAGGUGCGUUGCAUUUUUUCUUCUCUAAGGUGAGGCUGCACCUCCAUUUCCCGUCUUUCAGCUACAAAUCGUGCUACCUCUCCUAGAAAAUCAAACUUUCAAAGCCCUCUCCACGUGCUGAAAAUCUCUUUCCAUCAUCUCAAUGAUCCUGCAAAUUGUGCCCUUCUCCUCUUUUCAAAGGCUCCGUCUCCCUUGCUCUCCAAUGGUGUAACUGCAAAUUUUUUUUUUUUUUUGGUUUUUUUAAAGGCACGACUUCACCUCUACUUCCUGUUUUCUGCCGCAAAUUGUCCUCACUCUCACUGAAAGCCAAACCUUUAUUAUUAUUUUUUUUCGCUCUCCUGUCAUUUUCUUUCUUCUUCCUAUUUUUUUUUCUCUAUCUCAUCCAGCUUCUUCACUCUCCAUUUUCCGCUCGUUGACUCCACCAACAUGGGAAGACAACUCACCCGCCCGGAGAGAGCCUCAAUCGUCCGUGUCAUUCCAGCAUGAUCGGAACUCUCUAUCUUCUCAAAACAUAGCCCACAUUCUGUCCCUAUACAUCUGCACUCCUUCCCAUUGACUUCAAAACAAUGUGUAGGUCCUUCAAAUGUCCCCAUUUUGGUUGGUUCAGAUUACCAAAUUCAUCAAGAGGUGCAUCAUAAUAUAUGAUGUCAUAAUGUAUGGACCACCAACUAUUCUACCAAAAUUGGUACCACCAUGAUACAUGUAAUAGUCUUGGAAUGUGCCGCCAGUUUUGUAAGUAUUCUCUAGAGUAUUUAUUUGAAGUAGGAAAAUUUGGCCCACUAAAGAGAAGACGAGUGAUACAAUUGUUGCUAUCCUUAACCAUUUUCUCUAUCUUCCUUGGAAACACUACACCGCUAAAGAAUUGAAAUGGAACCUUAGAAACAAUCCCAAAUAAGAAAAUAUGAAUACCUAGAUAAAAAGUAUAACACAUAAAAAAUACAUAUUAGACACAUUUAAUAAAAAAAGAAAUUAAACUAAUGCAACAUAUAAUAAUAAUCGAAGUGUCAAACUCAAACCACCAAAAAAUAAAAAAAUUCAUUUCAUCCAAUCAUAAAAUAAAAUAAAUAAACAAAAAUACAAAUAAUAGUAAUAAUGAAAUAAUAUAAAAUAAGUCAAAACUCACUUAAUCCUAAAAUCAAAAUAAAAUAAAUAAACAAAAAUACAAAUAAUAAUAAUAAUAAUGAAAUAAUAUAAAAUAAGCCAAAACUCACUUAAUCCUAAAAUCAAUAAAUAAAAUAAAUAAAUAAAGAAAAACAAGAAAAUAAAUCUAAGUGAAACUAAACCUAGAAAAGUGCCUAGGUGAGCCUACAGUGGUGCCUAAUUGGCCAAGUGUACCUAAAUGGGCGUAGGGUACAUAAGUGGGUCUAAGGUGGUGCCUAAUGGGCCAAGUGUACAUAAAUGGCCCGAUGGUGCCUAAAUGGGCCUAAGAAGGUGCCUAAUGGGCCAAAUGUACCUAAAUGGACCGAGGGUGCUUAAGUGGGCCUAAGGAGGUGCUUAAUGGGCCAAGUGUACCUAAAUGGGCUUAGGGUGACUAAAUGGGCCUAAGGUGGUGCCUAAAUGGGCCAAAUGUACUUAAAUGGGUGUAGGGUGCCUAAGUGGGCCUAAGGUGGUGCCUAAUGGGCCAAGUGUACCUAAAUGGGCCAAUGGUGCCUAAGUGGGCCUAAGGAGGUGCCUAAUGGGCCAAGUGUACCUAAAUGGGCAUAGAGUGCCUAAAUGGGCCUAAGGGGCCAAGUGUACCUAAAUGGACCUAGGGUGCUUAAGUGGGCCUAAGUCUAAAUUAGGACUGCUAAGAGUCACAAUAGAGUUAGAUAAAUCCCUCAACCAAAGUCUCUAAGGUGGCUUAGAGAAUAUAGGCUACACGAGUAGUGAUGGGCCACCAGGGUAUUGUUGUAAAAUGCUGAACAAAUACCUAAUAGGACAUGUGCUAAGAGGGCAAACUGGAGGGUCUACAAUAUGCAUGACAAAUGAGAAGAUUGAGAGGGAAAAAUAUUAUUUUGGAAUAUAAUGAUGACAUUGGUUUUUGGAUAUUUGGAGUACUCUCAUGGGAAGACAACUUUGAAAUUUUAAAAAGGAAAAAGAUUUUUGAGAUUAAGAACUCUCUUAAGGGUACGACUGUUGCCAUUGAGAUUGAUAUACAUGCAUAGGGAGCAUUGAGAAUUUGGUGAUAUACAACAUAGGAGAUUUUUUGAGAUUGAAGAGGAUUCAUAGAGAUACACGACUAUCAUAUUGAGAUAGGACAAAGAUUCAUGGAAAAAGGACAAUGUUCACAACAUGAAGGCUUUUUUGGAAAGAAGAAAAGAAUUGUCUUGAAGACAAGACACAACAUUGAGGAGUUUUUGGAAAAGAGGAGGAAUAUUUUGGAACAACAUUGAAUGGGAUUUUUUGAGGUAGACAUGAUUGCCAUUGAGAUGGGGUUCACAAAAAAGAGAUUUUUAAAGAGGAGAUGACUUUUUUUAAAGGGGGAUUUGUGGUUGCUAUAGAGAGAUAGAAGAGAUAGGACUCUCUUUGGUACAAGUUUUUGGAAUUUUUGAGGAAGAGAUGACUUUGUUUUUUUGGGACUGUUAGUUGCCAUAAAGAUUGGAAAGAAAAUUUAAAGUCUUGGAGAAGCUAAGGGCAUCACGACAUAAGGAGAAGAGGGAAGAUCAAUUUGGAUUGAGAAAUGAAGCAAAGUUUCAUAUUUUUUUAGUGGAGAAAAGAACAAGUUUCAUCUUUUUGGAGGAAAGCUAUGAUUCUCUUUUAUUCUUUUUGCAUAUCUUAAUUAUGAUAAUCUCUCUAUCUUUUAUUUUUUUUCCAUCUUACUUAGAUAUGAGAAUUAUCUUUGGUUGGUGUGGAUGCAUAGGCCACACAAAUUGUUGGUAUUUAAUAAUUGGAUGAUUGAUUGUUUAUGCUUAGGAUCUAUUUCACUCAUUGUUUUCCUUAUUUUUUUUUUUUUUUUACUUAGUUUAAGCCUAUUUGAUAUCACAUGAGAUGAGGUCUUGCAUCACAUGAUUUCUUUACUUUUGGUUCAUUUUAUUUGAUUGUUUCUUUGAGAUGUUAGAGUUUAGGUUUAGAAUUGCCUCUCACACAUUCACACACACACACACACACACACACACACACACACACCUACUCUUACCUUGAAUUUUGUUUUCUUGUUUUCAUCCUAGGAUCCUAUGUGAAUUGAUUGUUUUAGAAAAUUUUCAAGGGUUUUUGAAAUUUUUAACUAAGAAAUAGAAUAAGAGUUUGAAGACUUGGUAUGGGAAUAAUGUAAGGGGAUUUUUGAAUUGUUAUUGGAUAAGAAAUUGAGAUCCUUGGUGUGAGGGAUUAGCUAAAUAUGAAUAAUGUUCUAUUUGGUGGAGGUGUUUGAACAUGGCAUUGGAUAUGUUAAGAGAACUCAUGAUAGACACAGAUGAGAGGACAAAAAAAAAAAAAAAAAAAACUUAAGGAAAAACAACAAGAAAAUGAUAUGUAGUUCUAGAAAGACAAGUCAUAGACAAACCUUAGAAGGUUAAGGCUAAGGUAGUGUACGUUAGAAUCUCUUGAGAACAACAUCAGAGAAGGAUGUUGGUGAACACUAACUUUUAUGCCAAGAGUUAAUAGGAGGAAAAUGCAAAAAAUAAAGGAAUUUUAAAAAUGCAAAGGUUUAGCCUUCUAAAAAUACCUUACCUUCGUCCCUUGAAAAAAAAUGUGGCAUUAUUUAUUUCAGACUAACAUCAAGAAUAGGAGCACCAAACUUAACUUGCCUGGUGCUUACAAUACAUGUAAGAGACUUAGUGCAUGGACUUCUAAGGGCAACAAUAAUUGUAAAUACCAUAACACCGAGUAUUUGGCAAAGUAUCAAAGUUCUAAGAGCCUUAUUUCAACAACUUUGAAGAUACUUCCACACUAAUAGAAUGCAAUUUCUCAAAACAAGGGAUAUGGCACCAAGGCUUGUCAACUAGCUAAGAUAUUUCUAUCAAAACAAGAUCUUGUAUUCACAAUCCCAUAAUUAUUAAUUAAGAAUCAUGGGAUUGAUCUAUAAAAGCUAAAGGUUCGAUCAAAGAUAGACAAAAUUGUUAACCAAUUGAGUGUUACAAUACAUAUCACAAAGAAUUAUGCAUAAAGGUAAUCUUUACUUGCUUUAUUUUGAUUUAGAUGUAUGAAAACAUAUAUACAAUGAUUGAGAAUGCUUAUAGUAAUGUUGAUCUCAAUUGUCCUAAACUAUAGCUACCUCUUAAAAUGAAAAGAUUGUGUAUUACAUGAGACUUUUAAAAAUAAUAACAAUAAAAAAGAAAUAUGUACCUUUAGUCCUUUCCCUAAAAUAUAUAUAACAAAAAUUCAUUAAAAAUUCAAAAUAAAGAAGUUCAUAGAUAAAGUUUAUUUUUCCUAAAAGAAAUUUUGCUAUUGCUUAUUAUCUCUUAUCAAGAAUAAAUAGGUAAUAUUCAAGUGUUUCAAAAAAUAAACCUCCCAACUAUAUUUCGUGCUCAAUUGCAUGAUAAGAAUUGAAGUUUAUUACAUGGGAUUUGAUUUCGUUUAAAAGCGACAACAAAGGAAAAUUAUUAUGGGGGUGCAAUAAUCCAUUGACAUGUGGAUUGAUACUAAGGUAACACAAGUGGUGCAUGAUUCGUUCCCAAUUGGUGUCUCAGCUGAUUCAUGUCCAGCUGGUGCUCCUUGACUGAGGGAGUGAUCAACAAAAUUUAUAACCUAUUACACCAUGCAUUAGGAUAGCUUUAGCUAAUAUAGCAUAGUGACUCUAGGAUUGUUCACUGGGAAGGGUUUUCAACUCUCAAUUGAUACCAAUUCAAAGUUAAAUUGGUGCUUUUUCAUUUCAAGGUUAGCUUAAGAAAUAAAACACAAACUUUGUUUAAAUGAGGUUUUGUUUAAAGCUAACUAAAAAGAAAGUAAUGGAAAUUACUUAUGAAGAAAAACAUUCCUUGGAGGUUUAGGUUCAUUGGGGAGGUUCCUUAUGCAAAAACAGAGCUCUAGUCAUUUGGUUCAUUUCCUCGCAUUAGAGAAUUAACAUAUAGUCAAUUCUCUAACCGGUGUUGUACAGAUGUAACCUUUAAAUGGAUUUCGGCUCUAAUUCCCUCUCACUGAUGCAACUUGCAAUGGCUCGUGCCUCUCACCUAGCAUUUGCCAUUCAAGGUAAUCUUUAACUUUGGACUUCCCUUCUCAAGCUCGCAAGAGAUAACUAAUGGAUGUCUUCUUGGAGUCCAAAAGCUUACCAAGUGUUGGCAAUUCUAGAAAAUCCUACCUCCAAGUCACUUCCCAAAAGCUCGCAAGAGAUAAACAAGUGCAUCUCCAUGGACGGAGAUCACGUGCCUUACCAAGUGUUGGCUCAAGUGAAUUGAAGGUGUUUUAAGUUAACUAAAAACAUAGAAAUCAUUAAAGGAUCACACUUUCUUUUCAUUAAUGGCUGAAACCACAAAGCUAUAAUUUCUUGCACUUGGAACCUUUCCCGGCAACCCUAGCUCCAAGGAACUAAAAGUCUAGCCACUCAUUCUCUGAGGAAAAUUCCUCAGAGCUUGUUUGGCUAGUAAGAAAAAGAAUGAGAAAACAAAAAUAUAAAGGAAAAACAGAGCAAGUGCUCUAUAAAAUAUAUUUCUUGCAAAAUUGUACAAAAGGAUGCGUCUGAGAACAAGCUCCCAAAGAUAUAUGAUUGUAAAGAAAAUUACAACUAUAUAUAAGAGGUUAUUCACUCCUUUUUCUUGCUUAAAGACUAAGGAAUCCUAUGAUAGGUGGAUUACAAGGAGAGUUUGGGGAUUUAGACAUCAAAUAUCUAAAGCAAAAUAUCCCAAAAUAUCUCAAAAAUGUCGGUCGGAAAUAUCAGGAAGCUUGAGGAGAACAUCGUGGCACUGUGCAAAAUGGCUGCGAAACUCUCUGGGUAAGCGCUGUAAAAGGAUCUGGACAUGUCUGUCCGGGGAAGUUGAAACGUCCUCCUCUCCCAUCCAGCUGUGAGGUAUCUGGAUGUAACAUGUCGGCGCACGGAAUUCCGGAUGUGAAAUGUCGGCAGACAGAACUCUUCCCCAGGUGGACUGAGCUAUGCUGCGCAAGGGGGACCGUCUGCGUGUGCAAGGUGUAGGGACCCCUCUCCCGGAUGACACGGAGUGCGCAAGGCUAUCCGGAUCAACUCCAUCCGGAUUUCCCAAGAGGACACGCGGCGCGCUCCCUUAUCCGGAUUCCCUCAGGUUGGAGCACACAGCACUCGUGAACAUCACACCCGGACGAUAACAUAUCCUAUUCGGAUAUGUUGUCCGGGUCACUGACUAAAGUGAGCAAGCCUUCCUACGUCAUUCGGACAACCUGCCACAGACCAUGUUCCGCCACCAUCCUGUCCGGACGCCCUGUCCGGACAUCUUUGCCAUGGAUUCCAAAGAACUCUCCUCAAUCUCUGAUUGCUUUCGUGAUAAAAAAGCUAUCAAAACACCAAAAUUUAACACAAUUUGAUUAGAAUUGAUUGCAAGGGUCCUUAAUAUGUUAAUUGGGUUAAAAGGUGAUAACUACUACUCAAAAGUAUUUAAAAGAGUUAAUUACAGACUAUCAAAUAACACUUUUUGAGUAGUAAUCAGUGCACCACCAUAAGGUUGCAUAAGAGCCACAUAACCCCAAAUGGGUACUCCAACCACCAUCAUAGUACAAUAAAGUUGACUUCUAUUAUCAAUAUGGCGAUAUGAUUUCCCACAUGAAAAUGGAGUAACUUACAACCACCCUCUAAGGGGCACCUUUUUCCACUUUCAAGGAUGAAAAUAUCGGUGAUUAUUGAUACAUCAGUACUUCCAUUUUACGGAUAUAUCGAUGAAUAUUUUGACACAAAAUAUCAAUGAAAUUAAAAUUGAUAAAAAAUUAUAAAAAUGUAAUAAAAAACUCUUAAAAAUAAAAUUAGAAGUAUAAUAUAUAUUUUAAAGUUGUUUUGUUCAAGAAAUUGAUAUAUGUAUAAUAUAACCUAUCAUAUUUGAUAAUAAUAUUGUAUGUGCUAAGAAAAAAAUAUGAAUUUCAUAAGUAUACAUUUAUUAUUAAAUUAUAUCAAAUAUUAUUCGAUAAUAAUAUUGUGAUAUUUGAUUAUAAUAUGUCUAAUUUAAAAAUAUAUUUAAUAUUUAAAUUAUAAUCCAUUUAAUUCAAUUGUAUUAAAUGAUAUAAAAUAAACGAUGAUAUAUGUAUAAUUUUAAUACUUUAUUAAUAUAUUAAUGAUAUUAAAAACAUUAUUAAGAAAAUUAUCAUGAUAAUUUUUAUAUUUUUGGUAUUCAAAUAGAUGAAAAAUUUUCAUUUAAUCAUAAAAUAAUUAUAAUUAAUUUGUUCUUUAAAAUAUUUUUUUGAAUUUAUGUUUAUAUGAUGAAUUUGAGUUUAUGUAUAUUUGGUGCAACUUAUAUAACAAGGGACAAACUUCCCCCAAUGGUUGGCUCAACGCAUAGUAAACCCACACAGGUCGUAUUGACCCAUGUUGACCACCCCAAAAUAUUGCAAAAAAUCAAUAAAAUAUUGAAAAAUCGGCAAAAUUCACGAUAAAUUGUCAAAAUAUCGAGGUCCAUCGAUACUCUAUAUUUUAAUCACUGCCCACCAUCAAAGGUUGUAAUGACCAUAGGCGGUGAAUGGACUCAAACCCUUAGGCGGUGAAUGGACUCAAACCCUAACAAGCGACCCCAUCAUUAAAAGGAAGAUUGCUUUCCAAAGCAAGGCAGGUGAAACAAAUUCAUCCUUUUAUGUUAACCCUCUUUCCCAUCCAUGCCUAACUUGAUCGUCACAAAGGGGUUGGCCUAAUCAAUCCAUCACCUAUCUAACACUCAUUAUGGAAAUUAAUGUGUAAAGGAAUUCCAAAGAUAACCUCAAGUGGAAGAGGGAUGCAACAAUUCUAAAUUGCAUCCUCAUAUGCAAAAAAUAGGACUAAAUCAAUGUUUCUACAAGGAAGAGUCAAGCUUGACUUCAAUUUAUUGUUUUGUCUUGGUCUUUUUAAUAUUCCUAAUAAAAAGAAAUAACAUGAAAACGUCAACAAAUUUUCAAUUACUUCAAUUAAAAAAAUCAAUUAGUACAUAAAAAUAAUUUUUUUCUUCAAAAUUAAAGGCAAGAGAUGAUUUUAUAUUUUUGCCCUAAUUUUAAUUUAUUUUAAAUCAAUUUGAGUGUUGAAAAUUUAGGUAACAAAAAUUUGAUUAAAGAACUAUAUAUAUAUAUAACAUAAUUCUUCUUAAAAAAAUAAUAUUUUUUUUAUAAAAAAAUUGUUUAAAAAAUUGAGAUAUUAUUUUCUCAAAUUUAAAAAAUUUAAAAAAUAAUUUUUAAAGAUAUAAGAUAAGUUCAUACUUCUUUAAAAGAGUUGUUAUAUUUAAUAUAGAAAUUAUUAUUAUUUUCUAGUUUUUUUUUUUUUAAAAAAAAUGUCCAAACAAACAAUUAAUUAAUUUCAAAUAAUUUUGAUAAUGCCCAAGUACACUAAUGGAAUUAAUAAAAUGCUUUAUACAUAAUUAAUGGGAAUGCGCCAUCAAAGUCAUGGGAGUUUUUCCGUCCCACCAAGAUACCACCGAGUAAUACACACGUACAAAGUGAGGUUAUUACGUAAUAAUAAAUAAAAAUAUAGGUCAAUUAUUGGAAGACAAGUACUGCGUAAAUGUUGAGCUUUAGUCAACCAAGUCGUUUACGAGAUUUCCCCACCAUGACAGCAGCUGAAGACAUGGAAAAACAGGUGUAUGACUCAGUGUCCCAAGGACUGUGUCAAAGAUGGAAUACCCUAGGGUUGAGGGAGUAGGGAACAAAGUGGGUCAGCUCGAUUGACUAUACACAUUGCAUGCAUUACUAAAGUGGUAAGGUUUCUGGAUCUCUAUGUCGGCGUUGAUAAUUGAAUGGGAAAGUAUUAAUGGUUCUAGACAACAGUGGCUGCACCCAACCCCAAAUCUCAAAAACCUCAGCUGAAGCAAUUCAUUGAAUAGCUCAAAGCCGAACCAUCCAUUCUUAGCAUGAGCUGCUUCCGACUCAUUCGCAUUCAAGAUAGACACACCUUUGAUGUAAUUAGGAGAUAAGAAAUGGUUACCUCAUGAGUAGUCCGAGAAAUUUUGGAGAAAAGAUAAAAAAAAAAAAAAAUAGAGUCAGGAACGCAGAAGAAUGUAGUCAUUCUCUUUUGCCCUAGUUCUCCAGCUCUUGAAGUUUUAAGAGGUCAUCUCGAAUGGAUUUUUAAUUGCCUCAACACAGGGUGAAGUAUCCGCCAAGCAAUCAAUGAUUUUUUUCUAAAAGAUGAAGCUCAAUAUUUGGAAAAAUCAAACCAUGCAUGGAUUUGGAUAAAUUAUAAUGGGAUUUCCUAUUUUAAUGCUUUAGAUUUCUUCUUAAAAAUCUGAUUUUCUUUUAAUUAGGCAUUGAUUCAUUCCUAUCUUACUCCUAAAAUUAGACACACAUGUGUUAGGUGAUCUGAUAUCCGUUAAAACUUUGGGGUGCAUGCAUCUAAUUAAGAUUCUUGGAAUAACUGAAGUGAUUAAAAAUAAAAUUUUUGCCUCAUAGGGUGGUUUAAAAAUCAUAUAUGAGGUUUGAAUGUUCUCAAGCCCAAAUUCUUUUUCAUAGAAGAUGUCUUGAAACCUCACAAUCUUCCACCAUUAUAGCUCCUUCUUUGAUCCAUGAUACUUGUGUAGAAUGACUACUUACUUCUUAAGGGAGAGAGAUGGAGGCUAGGUUUCCAAAAGAUCAAUUGUUUGAAAGAUUAAAGUCUAACCCUAAAACCCAUGAGGUUUAUAUAGAUUCUCCUAUGGGCUUAAGUGACUUUGGCCCAACAUGGAAUUGGAUCACUUAAUUUAGCCCAAUGUGGGUUUGGGUCACUUAAUUUAGCCCAACGUAGGUCAAUUGAUUUUGCCCAUGAUGUCUUAAUUAAUUAAUUAACUCAAAUGAGCUCCAAUUAAUUAAUUAGCCUACACAAAAAAAAAAAUCAUCAUAAAAUCUUGUGCAAUGUUAUGCUAUUACCAAAAUGGAUUUAUGCACAUAAAUGAUUAAUUCUCCAUAAAACCUUAAAAUAAAUAAUCAUAAGUUUUUACACAACCUUACGCUUUUAACAAACCACACUUAUGCAAAAAUGAUUAAAUCUCUAAUUUCCCUCAAACCUUUGUGCCAACAAAGACUUUGAACUUGAGUGAGGACUACUAGGACCCAUAGGAAAUACUCACUUUCUUAUAAUCUAAUUUUGACAUUGAUUCAACACUCCACUAAAGAGAGUCAACUCCAUUUUAAUAUCUAAUUUCAUUACAUUAAGAUAAGAAUUAAUUAAAUCCGGUUGAAUAAUUUUCUCCAAUUUGUGACUUCCUAACAUACAAACCCCUUAUAAAUUGAUGCUCUUGAUCUAACAAGAUAACUGCUAUCAACCUCUUAAGAUUACCACAAUACUUGAGUUUUAGAUCUUCCUAUUAUGUAAUCAAAUGAUAUUCUCUAGCUCACUACGAAAAAAAUGCCUUUUAUGUUUAUUUUUGAGAAAUACUUAGAAUCACCAUUAAAAAAAAAUAAAGGAGAAAACAAAGUAAUAAAAUUAAAACCCUAAGUAACUCCAACAAUGGAAAACAAGGCAAUGGCUACAAAACCUAGAUAUCUCCAUUCCUAUCCUUGGACCAUUAGGGUACAUGUAAACUAUCCUAGGAGCUCUAUAGAUCUAACAAGUAGAAACGCAAUAUACAAUAAAACUUAGAUCUUGAGAAAAGUGUGUUUUCCCUAUGAUUUGGAUGUUUCCAAUUCAAAUCUUGUCAAUGAAGAGUCAAUAUGGAUCUUGCAAACUAGUAAAUCUUGCACCCAAUAGCUCCUUUUUGGAUCCUGACACAAGAGAAGGUUGUUAGCAUCUUAGAUAUAAGCAAUAACAUCAAUACCAAUUUUUUUUAAAAAUUGAUCUUUAGGGUUAAAAUACUAACCUUUAGGUUUGAAUGUUCCCAAAUUUUAAAUUCCAAGUAUUGAAGAUAACUUUGAAGUUGUUGGAAGUAUUAUAAACCCACGAUCUUUCGUCCGAUGACUCAACCUUGUUUUUGGCACACUUCCUAUGGGGAGGAAAAAAUGGUGGAGGUUAUGACUCUCUUUCUCUUUGGAUGGUGGAAAACAAAAAGAGAUGGAAACCCUUGCCCCUAGGGGGUAUUUAUAAGGUUCAUAUAUAAUUAGGUUUAAGUGACUUAAACCCACAUGGACUUGGGUUACUUAAUUUAACCCAAAUUGAGUCAUAAUUGAUUAAUUAACCUAAUAAGAUCUACUAAUUAAUCAAUUAACAUAAUUUAGAUACUUGGUUCACUUACCCUUGUGCAAUCUUAUGUAAUUACCAUAACACCUUUGUGCACAAAAGUAAACCUAGAACUAAUUUGACCAUUCUAACCCAUGCUAAUAAGAUAUAUGAACCCAAAGCAAUGACCACUAGGACUUAUAAGAGUACUGGCUCCCUUAUAAUCCAAUUAUGAAGUUGAUUUAACAUCUCACUAUAGAGAAUCAGCCAAGCUCUUGUAACCUAUAUAAAUAACAAUGAGACACUAUGUGCUUAGGUCCAUGACUUGCUAUCCAUUGCGUUCAGUCUCCUUAUGAACUAGUGACCAUAGUCUAACAAGGUGAAAACUAGCUAUUAGCCUUUCAAGACUACCUCUACUAUUCUUGAGUUACAGAUCCCCCUAUUAUGUGUUCAACUGACAUGUCUUAACUCUUAAAGAGUCAAUGUCAAAUUCCACUUAAGGAACUACUAUAACCAUAAUUUUCAUGAACACAACUCCUUAGAAUCACCUAGGGGGACACUUUGUCUUAAUCACAUGAGAUAUCAUGGUGCCUCUAUUGAGAACACCUAUUACUAUAGACUUCUAUCAACAGUGACCUAACUAAUCCAUAGGGAAUAUAUGAUCAGUUUACAAUUUCACUCAUAGCUCAAAACUACUAAUAACUUUAACACAAGUUCAAUAUUCUCUUAAGGUUGAGAGACAACAUAAUGAAGCAUCUUGGUGAGGUCAUGACUACUUGAUAGCCUUAAGUCAUGACUUGUCUAAUAUGUAACAUUACACACUAGUGCACUCAUUAUAGGAAACUCAUCCCGAUUGCCAAGACCACUCAUUUCUCUAAUUAGGAGGUGAUGCACUACAACCUCUAAUGGGUUGCUUAGACCCACGAAUCGACUGUGAAUAAGUCAUCUAUUUGUAAGGAACCCAUGACUUGAAUCUUCUGUGCAACUUGUAAUGCAGCCAAGUCAUAUACAAUGAAAAAGAUACAGACAAGAAAACUUAUAUAGUGUAAUGUAUAGAAUAAGGAUAGAUAAAAGUGAAACUAGAAUAUCAUUAAAUAAAUAAUGAAUUCUAAAUUUGUUACAUCAUGUCAUACUUUUAAGGGCUCUAUCAUAAUAAAAGUGAAAUCCUCUUUAAAGAGGUAGAGGUUAGGGCUUUUCUCUCUAGAAAUGUAAAUGACAAGAAUGUUGAAGCCUUAACCCCUUAGGAGGUUUAUAUAGGUUUUUUGCUAGCUUAGGUAACUUAAUCCAACCCACUUGAAUCUUAAUUAAUUAAUUAUCCCUAUUGGGAUCCAAUGAAUUAAUUAGUCUGGUUCACAAAGACCAUGCAUAAGCUCUUAUGUAGCCCUAUGUAUUUACCAAAAUACUUUUAUGCACUCAUGAAUUUAGAACCCAAAAAUCCCUCAAUAACUAUGCUAUUAUGGAUAUGAGCUCAAGUACAAACCAUUAGGACCAAUUGGAAAAUAUAGGCUCCUUCAUACUACAAUUCUAAAGAGCAUGCAACAUCUCACUACUGUAGAGAGUUAAUUAUACUCCAAUAUCUUAUGAUAUUAUAAUGAGAUACUAACCUCGAGUUUAUGACCCAUUAUUCACUGUAUACAGACUUCUUAUGAAUUGAUGUUUAUAAUCUAGCGAAGUGAUGAUAUUAACCUUUUAAUAUUACAUCUAUAAUCGUUACAAACAUUGGUCUCUCUUACAGAUUUAUUUCAGGCUCUGUUGUUCCCUGCUCACCUAGGGUAGGUGGCAGUUGAGCCAAUGGUUCUUUUAGCAUAUCUUCCUCUUCACCUGGUGUUGAAGGCAUUUGGGGCACUUGAGGCAUAUCCUCUUCUUCAGCCCUUUCUUCUACAGCUAGGAGUAAUCCACCCCUUCUCAAUUCAAUUUCAAUUUUCUUCAUCUCAAUUUUCAUUUUAAUCAAAUUCUUUUCAUAGUCUUUCGGUCCAUGUGUUGCUCUUUUAUUGUUACUUCCUCUUCAUCCUCAGCAAAUGGGUGCCUCAUGGCCAUCUGAUAGGUUGUGAGAAAUCUGGGUAUCUUAAGUUUUGCUUUCUUAGCACUCUCUAGCCUCUUCAACUGAUUCAACUCGUAUGAAUGGAUGAAGUUUUUCUCAAUCAGUGUUAGCAGGUCGGCAUAUUCAUCUGUAUAAGUUGCAUACAGGCCCCCAACUUAAAAUGCUUCCUCUCUUGUUCAUGGCCAGUGGGGUUAAUAUUGUGGCAGAUGACAUGGUCAACUAGCUUCUUCUGAUAGGGGGCCCACUUUCAUUUGGUGUAACUUUUCUGGGUCUUCCAGCAGGAAUAUUCAUUUAAGAUCUCUUCCACUGAGUGCUUCUCAGGGGCUUUAAGACCUAAGUCAACAAAGCACUCAGUGGCUUUAAUACCUAAGUCAACAAGGUGUUGGCCUUGCAGCUCACUCAGAGCUGCAAUCUCUGCUCUGGGCAUCUUGUACCUAAUGCCAUCAACUCGGAAGAUAACGAGUCUGUCAGCAUGGUCCAAAUUCUCUACCUUUAAGCUCUGAUAGAUUAACCUCACUAGCCAUGGGUAGUGUUACUUGGGCAGUCCACUUGUCAUCAUGCCCAUAUUGUAUUUAAACGGGAUCUCUGCAGACGACAUCGCCUCUUCCAUUUCUGCUAGUUGCAGAUCUUGAUAGGUUUUUUGGGAUUAGAUAUCUCUCAUUUGAUAAUCUUUGUAGGGUACUUCUCUGGCUGGAAUAGUUUCUUAAGCCAGAGCUGGUUGUUGGGUAGCCAUCUAAUCUGGAAUCUCCUCAGCAGGGCUGAACAGGAGCUGGAGCUUCAGGUUGGAUUUCUGGUUGUUAGGAUUUUUACCUUCCUGCCAUGAACACUCAAAAACUGAUCAAUGGAGUUGUUAGAGUUCAUAUAUUCAAUGUGUUGCAACUUGUUAAUUUAUUUUUGUUCUUUUUCAAAUAAUUGCUUUCCUUCAAAAUAUAUAUAUAUGUAUAAAGUAGGUUGUGAGGUUUAAUUUAAGUGACAAAGAGAUUGAUCUAAGUGAAAUUUUCUAUAUAUUUUAGAAAAUUUUUAAAAAUUAAAAAUUAAAAUUAUAUUGAAAAUAAAUUUAAAUAAAUUCUAACACCCAGUUUGUGGUUGAAAAUAGACACUAUUUCAAUAAUUAUAAAAUUGAUAAAAACCCAAUGUAAUUGCUUAUACGAGUAUCAAUUUUAUUUUUUAUAUAAGUUAAUUAUACUUCUAUAUUUUGAUGUGUAAAAUAAACUUCUUUUUUGGUACACUUGAUUAAUGGUUACUAUUAUUAAGCAAUUACAAUAAAAGUAGAUAAUUUUUAUAGAGAAAUAGGUAUUGAGCUGUUUGUAAAGUAUGUGUAACAUAAUAUUAAGUAUAGAUGACAAUAGGGUAGGUUUUUUAAAGUAUCACCCCACCAUGCCCCUAAUGAGUUAGGUUUAAAAUUUAAAUAAACGGAUUAAGGGUAGAUUUGAGAUUUUUUUUAAAAACCCGGGAUUGGUUCGAGGUAGAUUCAAGUAUUGACUUAUCCCCACCCCACCUCGAUUAUAUAUAAAAUUAAUUUAAUUUAAUUUUUAUAUUUAUAUAUUUAAUAUAAUAAUAAUAGAAAACAUUUUUUAAUAAAAUAAGUUAUAAAAAAAUUAUAAUAUUUUUAAUUAUUUAUAAAAUAUAUUUAUUUUAAUGUAGUUAAAAAUAUUUUAAAUAAUUUAAAAGAAAAACUAAAAACUUUUAAAACAAAAGUUGAAUGGGUUGAGGCAAGACGAGUAUGAGAAAUUUGCAUACCUGCUCUGCCCAUUUAAUUUUUUAAAUGAGACAAAAAUGAUAAUUAUUUUGAAUAAAUGGGAUAAGAUUAGGAUGAAGGUGAUUCGUCUUGAACCUGCUCUAUUAUUAUCUUUAAUCUUAAUUUGAAAACUUCUAUGGGAUGUAAGCUUCAAUUUGAUGUUGCUUGACCAUCAACAUCGACCAACUUAUUUAAGUUGUUAGCCUACAUCAAUUGAAUAUUGCCAUACAUUAAAAGUAACGAUACUUGGAAAAACGUCAUUAUACUGCUAGAUUUUCAUUUUUAUAAUGCAAUCUCAAUUUAACCUUAAUCAUAAAUAAUAAAAUCCAUAUGGAUUUUUUUCCAUGAGCGUUUAUAUAAAAAUUUAGACCACAUGCGCGGAGUUUUCAAUGCAGCAAUAUAGUUUCACUGGUGAAUGCUUUAUAAGGGUUUACCCAUAAAACCUAAAACCUAAAAAAAAAUAAAAAUUCCUCAAAGUGUUUCGUUGAGGGAAUGAAGCGGCUACCAAAGUAAAAAUGAAGAAAAAGAAGAAGAAGAUCGUCAUGAAGGUGGCUAUCAUUUUUCUUAUGUUGUUGAGUCAAUGAUUUAGCACCGAAAAUACUCCUAGCCAGGUAUGCGCAUAAAAAUUUUCAGUCACAAUGUUUGCUUUUACGGUUUGAGAUGUAGAAAGACAAGUUUUUAAGAUGGCUACCACUUAUUUGACAUCAUCCCAAAAGGAAAUUCUGGAUUUUACCCCUUCCUAGCAAAGAUUUGGUAUGGGUAGAUAUUAAAUCUCAUCCUUGAUACAAAAAUAAAUAGGAAUCCUAUCUUUUCCAUUUCAUGGUUCAUUGUUUCAAUAAAUUGCAAACAAAUUCAAAUCAAAAACAUUAAAAACAUAAAUUUAGAAAGAUUGGGCAUCUUAUUUACGCAUGAUGAAUGGAGAGACAAAGAUCAAUGAUGGGAAUUGGGUAGAGUGGUGAAAAAGAGUUUCAAUAUGUAAAAGCAUAUCUCAAUAGACGAUGAGAUAAUUUUUUUUAGUUUAUUAUUCUUAACCUUUUCAUUUGGUGAAAUGAAUUUGACAUGAGAAAUAAUUAAAGAUGAUAAGACAAUGGUGAAUUGGUGAAAUGAACUUUACAUGUCAUAUGCCAUAUGUGCCAAAUUUAGAAUAGCUUGAGUACGGACUAUUAGUAAAUUUGCUUCCUAUUCUAAGUUCUCCCAUAUGGAGGCUGGUAAUCCACAAGUGUGGGACUUAAUUUUGCCUAUGGAAGACUUAGUUUUGAAUUUAUGAGAUGACAAUCAACAAGUGUGAUACUCUUGUGUCCUUUGCCUUGAAUCACACCAUAGGGCACCCAUGGACACCCUUUGUGGCUAUUGUUUACCUUUUCUUGAGUCUUUUAUUACUUUCGUCCAUGUACAUCCCUAAAAAUUGAUAAAUUUGGUGAAUUCCAAAAUUGAUUAAAUUUUGAUUGAAAUAUUUAGUGUUGCUCUCCAUAUUUAAACUCUUAAGGUCAAAUCUUUAACUUCAAGAUUAUAGGUUAGUUUUUUUAUUACUUGGAACCUAGGUCAUGGCAAGAACCACAUUGAUUGUCAAACUAGUUGACUUUAAGAAAGUCUUGCAAGCUUUGGAGGGGGGAUAAGCUGAUUUAGUGAGGUUGGAGAAGAACAAGUCGUUAAUGGUCAUUGCACAUAUUGUGGGAUUAUGUGUCUUGGAUUGAGAAAAGAAGAUGUGUAGUUCUGUAUUGUCAUUGUGAAGAGGUGAAUUGAAUCAAACAUUAGAAUUUUGUUUUAUUCUUUUUCUCUAAUUUUCUAUUUCUUAGCUAAGAGAUUCUAAGUAAAGAAAAGAAAAAUAUGCAAUUGAUAUGAAGAUUUGCAUGAGAAAAACAAAGUUAUCCUCUCAUUAACAAUACUAUUUUGAAUAUUUGGAUACAUAACAAGAAUUGAAUAAACAUAAAGUUACAAGUAUUGAGAUGACAAUCAAAAUGUGUGAAACUCUCAUGUCCUUUGCCUUGAAUCACACCAUAGGACACUCAUGGACACCCUUUGUGGCUAUUGUUUACCUUUUCUUAGGUUUUUCAUUGCUUUUAUUCAUGUACAUUCCUAAAAAGUGACAAAUUUGGUGAAUUCUAAAAUUGAUUAAAUUUUGAUUGAAAUAUUGAGUGCUAGUCUCAAGAUUUAAACUCUUAAGAUCAAAUCUUUUAACUUCAAGAUUGUAGAUCAAUUGGGCUUUUUAUUAUUUGAAACCUAGGUCAUGACAAAAGCCACGUUGAUUGUCAAGCUAGUUGACUUUAAGAAAGUCUUGCAAGCUUUAGAGGGAGGGUAAGUUGAUUUAGUGCAAUUAGAGAAGAACAAGUCAUAAGUAAUCAUUGAGCAUACUAUGGGAUUAUGUCUCAUGUAUUGAGAAAGGAAGAUGUAUAGUUCUACAUCGCCAUUUGUGAAGAAGUGAAUUAAAUCAAAUAUUAAAAUUUUAUGUUAUUCUUUUCCUCUAAUUUUCUAUUUCAUAGCUAAAAGAAUAUUCUAUGUAAAGAAAAGAAAAGAAAAACAAGCAAUUCAUAUGAAGAUUUGUAUGAUAUCAUGAAGUUAUCCUCUCAGUAAAAACACUAUUUUGAAUAUUUGAAUAUAUAACAAGUAUUGAAUAAACAUAAAUUUACUAUUUUUGGCUAUUAAUAUUUUCAUUAAAUCCAAAUUGUGCAUAUUUUCUAUAGCUAAAACUUAAAACCAUAUUUUAUAAUUCAUAUGAGAAAGGACUAGAGGAGUGCUUCUGAAUCUUUGUCCUAGAUUCUUUAGAGUUAGGUGAUUUUUGGCCAUAGGUUUAUACUAAAGUUCAACCUUAUAACUACUCAUGAUUUACCUUGAUUUCAUCAUUUUAGUUCUUUUUGAUUCACCUUCUUUUAGAGAUUUUGUUGAUGUAAUUGUAGGAUAUUUUCCUUGUGACAUGAUAAUAGGUAAUUUUCCUUCUUUCCUUCCAUAGUUCUUGCUCUUAUAAAUAUAUGCACAAAGCAAACGUCAAUAUAGGAAAAUUGUUUCCAAGAUAAUUUUUUUCCUUAAGCUUUUAUCUUUGAUUAUGACUUCGUUACAGACAACCUCAUCUUCUAUUAUGACUUAAGUUUUUUCUAUUAAGUAAUAUCACUAAUUAUACUUCAACCAGAUUAAAUGAAACUAAUUAUCUCUAAUGAUGGUGAAGUGGGUUUGUUCCUAUUCUUGUAGACAAUGAUAUCUAUGGAUAUGUCAAUUUACAUUGCUUUAUUUCUUUUUCAUGUAACAGUUGUAUCUAACUUGAUGUUAUUCUUACAGUGAUGUCCUCUAGAGGUGGUAGGACUUUUGUGAAUCAAGCUCUAAUUGAUGGGAAUGUUGGUUUCUUGAGAAAUCAAUUUCUAUCAGCCAACUCAUGGAGGAGUGAAAGUCUGAGUCGAGGGUAGAGUGCCCAGGACCAGGAUAUCUGAAGAAUUAAGAUAAGAGAGGGGCACUAAGGAAAGAACUGCCAUGGAAUUGACUUCCAUGGAUACAAUCCAAAAGGGAAGAAUUAGCAAGUCACAGAUAUGGAUGUUGGUAGAGGUAAUAAGACAAUUGAAUAAAUUGUUGUAACUGAACACCUGAGAAUGAAAGUUGACCGAAAACAAGGAUGCAACAACAAAAAGAGAGCAAGAACGAAAGUUGACUAAAAACAAGGAUGCAACAAUAAAAAGAGAGCAGAAUGUGAUAAAUAAAGAAAAUACCAGUUACAAAAGGAAAACUUGAACACUCUCCUUCCAAAGGUAAAAGUUCCUAUAGAAGGCAAAUCACUUGUUUUUAGCAUAUCAAAGCUCUAAUGGAAGACAAUUUGUUUGUCUAUAGAGGAUAUCAAAAUUAUAGUUUCAACUACAUUAUGGAAGAAGGAACAUAUGUAUAGUAUGAGAUAUACAAUUAAAAAUGCAUUCAAUGUUGUAUCAUGAAAGUUUCUGCAGAGAUCAAUAGAGUUUUAACUUCCAAAGCAAGAUUCACGAAGUGGAUUUUAUUACAAAGAGAAGCAAAGAAAAUCUCGUAAGAAAAAUUACAAACUGGCAUUCUCUAAACUUUAAAAUUAUCUCAGUCUAAUUUCUCUAAUUCUCCAUCUAAUAUCUAUCUCUCUAUAUCUCCUAAAUAACUAGAUAGCGAGCUAUUUAUAGGCACUUUAUCAGUUUCUAGCUCAAUUAUAGCUUGUCACGUACACAAUAUAAUAAAAUCUAGUAAGUAAAUCUUCGCAUACUUCCUCAAUAAAUGUUUUCUUUCAUGGCCUUAUUAUGAUUAUUUGCUUUGCAAGGAAUAGCUUCAACCCAUUUCAACACAUAAUCCACUACCAUAAGAAUAUAGUGAAAACUAGAGGAAGGUGGAAAAGAUCCCAUAAAAUCAACACUUCAACAGUAAAAAACUUCCACCACACAAAUGUUGUGUAGUGGCAUUGAUUAUCUCUUACUUCACUUUUUCCUAGGUGUUGGCAUUUUUCACAUCUCUUGUACGUUACUCGCAAGUAUUCUUCAUAAGAGUGUUCUAGUAGAAACCUGACUAUAGUACCUAGGUGUUAGUUUUCUUGGAAGCUAAAUGUUAUCUACACACAUCAUCAUGACACAUUUUCAACAUGCUUUCUCUUUCUUCUUCUGGAAUGCAUCUUCUUAUAAUCUGAUCAUGACAAUACUUAAAUAACAAAUGUUCUUCCCACUUGUUAUUCUUGGACAAAAGGAAUCUUCUAUCUUCAGCGGUCUAAUUAGUAGGAAGUUGACCAAUUACUAGGUAAUUGACUAUGUCAGCAUACUAAGAUAUUUUCCUUUUGAUGGAGAAAGCUUCAUCAGGAAAGUUUUCAUUAGAUUCUUCUCCUUUAAACUUAGUCACAAUUCUAGAUAAGUGGUCAGCUACCAUAUUUUCUACUCCUUUCUUUUCUUUGAUUUCCAAUUAAAAUUCUUGUAAGACUAGUAUCCAACAAAUUAAUCUGUCUUUCGCUUCCUUUUAUAUAUUAAAAGAUACUUCAAAGCAGAGUGGUCUGUAAAUAUCAUAAUUUUGGUUCCAACAAGGUAAGUUCUGAAUUUGUCUAGUGCAUACGCUACUACUAACAACUCAUUUUUCUAUGAUCAUAUAGUUUUUUUGUGCAUUGUUUAGCAUCUUGCUGGCAUAGUGGAUGACAUUGCUUAUUCUCUCGACAACUGUGAGUACAUAGCCACUGGUGUUGCAAAUAAGUUCAAAUGGCAAAUUCCAAUUGGGGAGUUCUUACCACUAGUGCAGAUACAAGUUUCUCCUUGUAACUUUUCAAAUACAAGCUAGCAUCUCUUUGUCUAUAGAAAUUCAGUGUCUUUCAAUAGUAAAUUGCACAAUGGUUGAACGAUUUUUGAGAAAUAUUAGAUAAAUCACCUGUAGAACCUUGCAUGCAUGGCUUAAGAAUUAGUGUACUUUUCUAACUAUAGUAGGACUUAGCAGUUUAGAGAUCAAUUUAACUUUAGCUUCGUCAGCCUUUAUACCUCUCUCUAGUAUUACAUGGCCUAGGACUAUCCCUUGCUUGACCAUGAAGUGACACUUUUCCUAGUUCAGCACAAAACCUUUCUCAAUACAUUUCUUCAGUACUUUUUACAUGUUUUCCAAUCAAGCUAUAAAUAAGGGUCCAUAAACUAUGAUAUCAUCCAUAAAUACUUCCAUCUCCUUUUAUAAGAAUAUUGAAAAAAUGGUCACCAUGCAUCCUUGAAAUGUCUCAAGAGUAUUGCAUAAUCCAAAUGACAUUCAUCUAUAAAGCAUACCUGUCAAAUGGAUUAGUAAAUGUUGUCAUCUCUUAGUCUUCUGAUGCAAUUGGUAUUGAAAAUACCCUGAAUACUCAUCCAAGAAAUAAUAAUAGGAUCGGAGUAGCCUACAACUUUCUCCAAGGUUUGGUCCAAAACAGCAACAGAAAAUGAUCCUUCCUUGUUACUGCAUUUAGCUUGCCGUAAUCAAUACACACCCACCAACUUGUAGUAAGUCUAGUAGGUACCUCCUCUCCUCUACCAUUCUUGAUACCCUUAUGCCGCUCUUUCUAGGAACCACUUCCCAAGUAUUGUCAAAGAUGGAGUAAAUGAUUCCAACAUCCAACAGUUUAAUUACUUUUGCUCUUAUUAGAUCUUGCAUUGGGGGGUUAAGCCAUUACUAUAGUUGGAGAAUGGGUUUUUUAUCCUCCUCCAAGAAUAGUGAUGGGUGCAGAGAUUGGGGUUGAUUCUUUUUUAAGUCCUCAAGAAAUCCUCUUAUCACAUUUUUGAAUUGUUUUAGUACUUGAAUGAGCUUUUGCUUUUUAGUUAGAUCAAGAGAUGUGACUAUAAUAACUUAAUAAUCCUCUCCUUCUCCAAGGUAGAUAAACUUGAGUCCUUCAAGUAUUGGUCUUUUCUUUUUCUUUCUUUUUCAUUUUCAACUUUUUCUACUGUACGUGAAUAUUUCUUCUUCCUAUUUCCACAGUUUUAUUACUUUAUCUUUUGUUUGGUAUGCAAUGGAUAUAUCAUCCAACCCUUUGUAGUUUGUGAUCAACUGAUAUUCUAUCAAGUUGUCCACAGGUUCUUGAAUUAACGUUUCCAUCAAGCAUAUUUUUGUUGGCUCUUCUACUUCUAUCUACAACACAGGGCUUUUUGUUAGCAGGAACACAUUGGUUUCCAAGGUCAUGACUCCAAAGGUUAGCUUCAUUAUCCCAUAUCUGUAAUUAAUCAAGGCAUUAUCAAUAGCCAAAAACAGUUUACCCAGAAUUACUGGUAUUGAAUUUGAAUUCCUCUUUGGCUACUCAAUAUCAAGUACUAUAAAAUUAGCAUGGUGUUAUAACCUAUCCACCUAAAUUAGGGUGUCUUCUACCACUCCCUUCAGUAUUUUUACUAUUGUGUCAACCAAAUAUAAUGUGGUUACCAAGCUUUUGAUAUGGUGAAAAUGGAAUCAAAUUGACAUUUGCUCCCUAGUCAAGCAAUGAUCUUUUAAUUAUUACUUCUACUAUGGAUAUUGUUAUAGUAAGAUAGCCAGAAUCCUUAAAUUUGAUUGGGGUUUUGCAUUGAAUAAUUGCACUAACCUACCCUGUUAAGAACACUUUCUUGUCAAUAACCAUUUCUCUUUUCACUAUGCAUAGGGCUUUUUUAGGAAUUUUACAUAGAUUAGUACUUGACAUACCAUAUCUAGAAGAGGUAUGCUGAGUUUAACUUGGUAGAGUACAUCAAACAUGCACUUUAGUAUAUUGGUCAUCUUCAUUUCUUAGAGCUUGAGGAAAUAGGUUCCUCCUUAGACCUUGGGUGAUCCAAAAGACAUGUGAUUAGGAAGACUAUGACGAUAAUAAUUCAUUUAAUGGAAUUUGACAUAUACUCUUUAGAGCUAUAAUAUGUCAAUUGAUCACAUAACAGAUACAUUAAUAACUAAAGGAUUGAAGAAAUAAUUUUGAUAAGUUGAUAGCAUUACUUUAUUGGAUUAUAAACACUAGGUCAUGGGGGGUUCACAUGCAGUGGAUAGUAAGUCAUGAACUUAAGCUUCGCCCCAUUGUAAUUUCAUAAGAUAUUGGAGUACAGUUGAUUCUCUAUAGUAAAGUGUUGAAUUAACUUCAAAAUUGAAUCAUAAGGGAGUUGGUAUUUUUCUAUGAGUUUGAGUGGUCCCCAAUCAAGCUCUUAAUUUAUGGUGGCAUGUUUUAUUUAAGGGAUUUGGUUUUUGGUUCGCAAGUGUGCAUAAUGGCAUUUUGGUAAAAGCGCAAGAUUGCAUUAGAUCUCAUGGAUUAUAUUUUUAAAGUAGGCUAAUUAAUAUUAAAGUCCAAUAGAGCUAAUCAAUUAAUUGAGACCUAGGUGGGUUAGAUUAAGUGACCUAAGCCCAAUUUGGGUUCAAGUCACUUAAGCUAAUAAGGGGCCUAUAUAAACCUCCAACCCACAAAAAGCCCUAUAUAAACCUUUAUAAGGGUUUAAGGUUUAGAUUUUUGCCACUUUUUCUCCAUAAGAGUUUUCCGAAGAGAAGUCUUGGCCACCCUCAAGUUCUCUUUCAUGCUUAGAUUCGCGUAAGGAGAGGUUGGGUGGAAGAACACCAUGUAGACAAGUUCUACUCAAUAUCUUCAUUGGCUUGGUUUUUAUGUCAUUUUUUAUAAUUUUUCUCAACAUUUUCAUAAAUUUUGAUUAAUUUUUCGUAUGAUCGAUAUUUUAUGUUAGGAUAUCCAUCGAUAUUUUUCAAUAUAUUUCAAUAUAUACAUCAAAUUGAGUUAUCAAUAUAUUCAUAAAAACCGAUAUUUGUACCUUAUAAGUGCCUUAAAGUUGAAACCAUGGGGCAAUUUGUGUCCCAAAAGGACACUUCUCGAGCGAUAUGACGGGUCCUCUAAUACUUGUUCUAUUCUAAAUCCACCACUAAGGCUAUCAUUUACACUACAGAUUUUUUUUUUUUUUUUCUCUUUUAAUUAAUUUCUUUUAAGCCCUUGAUUUUCCUGCCUUGGCCAUGCACCUUCAAUCCAAAGAACUGACUGAGACACACUGAAAAGAUGCAUGUUAAACCUCAUUACUAGGACAUUACAAUGAAUUUGACCAAAAACAUAGAAUAAUCACUUAACCAGCUAGGUUCUAAAUAACAUCCACAAACCUGUUACGGAAUGCAAAUUGGAGUGAAUUUUAACAAAGAAGCAUAAGCGAAAGAACACCAUAUGGGUCUUGCAGACUAGAAUAAUUGAACUUUAAUUUUACUUCCAAGUGAGAUACAACUCGAUCCUUGUUUAGUUGUCUUGAAAUUAAGCUGAUGAAUAGGAAAAUAGCAUAAUUCAACACAUCAUAUGUAGGAUGUGUCUUACCCAGAAAAAAGGAAAAAGGAAAAAAUCUUUGAGUUUGUUAAUGUAGGACAUGAAUUCCCAAGUUGCAUAUUGGUCUCCAUGGCUCAAUUUGAUUGUCCAAAUUUCAAAUGACUAUGGCAUCCAACUCAGCAAGAUUUGUUUUUGUGAUACUUGUCGUUUUCUUCAUGUAACGUUUCUCUUGGUUUCUAACAAAGCCAUCAUCAAUUAGUGGCUAAACCAGUAAGGAAUGGACCCACUUGGCUUUGGACAGCCUACAUGGCGGUGGAACCUAUCUUUUUCAGGCUUAUGUCCAAUUUGAGCCCAAAUACUAACAACUUCAAAGGAAGCUAAUGAUCGGGUACCAAAAAAAACAUUAUGUUCAUAUACUAAGAGUGUGUUUGACAGUAAUUAUAAAAAUGGUUUAUAACAUCUUUAAUACUUGAAAGAUAAAAAAUUUCAAGUGUUAAAAAAACUAAAAACACUUUUUAGACUCACUACCAAACGAAUUUUAAGCAUUUAAAUCAAUUUUAUUGUAGAACUCGGCCGAUCAUAAAGAUAAUUAUACACUCAGACAGACAGGAAAAUACAUCGGACAGAAUACAGAGGACAUUAUUCUAAAAUACAUAACCAAGACAGGAAAUUACAUCAGCCAAAACAUAGAGGACAUUGUUCUAAGAUAUACCUAAUCCAGUGAAGGAUAUUAUUAAUCCAUGAUUUUCCUAAUCUACAAGGGAAUUGAAUCACUCCAAGAGGGGCCAUCUAGAGCUGAAGACCUUCUUCCAGGAUGGUCUAUUACUGAUAUCAUCCCACCAUGCCUUCACGUGUUUCCUCUCCUCAAUCAAAUACAUCUUCCCCAUAUCAGCCAAGUACUUUGUGAAUGGAAGGUGGCUAAGAUCAGCAAGGCUAAAGAAAUCCCCAGCCAGGUACUUGCUCUUGGACAGCCUCUCUUCAUAGAUGUCCAACACCUUUGCAAGCUUCUUUUCACUCUCUUCGAUCACUUUCGCAUCUGGGGGAAUACCCCGUUUGCGGCCAAACAGAAUUUCAAUGACUAAAUUGUCAAUUGCUGGGUGGUAACUUUGUGCUUCAACCUCCAGCCAUUGUUCCACCACUCCCCUCUCCUCUAUUGUCUUCCCCAGUAAAUCAGUUCCUUGAGACUUGUACUUCUCAGCAUAGUACCUCAUGAUUGCACGAGAUUCUGAAAUUCAAAUCAUACUCAUUCAUCAAGAACCCAAAGGGCCUGUUUGGUAAAACAAAUAAAUUGUUUUCAGCAAUUCAUGGGGUUCUAAGCUUUACUGAAAAGAUCAACUUUGAGACUAACACAUCAUAAAUCACUUAAAGAGUGAAAAAGAGCAUUCUAAUCUUAAGUGGAAAUGUUGUCUUUAUAAGAAAGGCAUUUCUGUAUAUGGAAUACUACUAUAGAAAUUCUGUGAUAGAAAUUUAUUAGAAGUGAGAUCACUGAAAAUUACCAAAUAAGGUAUAGUCUCCAUCUUGAAUGACAGGAACAACUCCAAAAGGCUGCAUUUGAUGAGAGAAAGAAGCAUAAAUUAUCAACAAUAUGUACAACAAAUCAAGAAAUUGUGAUACUUCAAUCAUUAAGCCUUUGUUUGGCUCUCAACAACUGCUGCAAAAAAAAAAAAUGAAAGGAAAUUUAAUGAAGUUCGAGUUUGAACUCCAUCAAUUCCUUCUCUGUUGAUCUUAUUUCUACUUAAAAGCUUUUCGAAAUCAUCAGCUUUUUCACUAACACCACAAAUCGAAAUCGUCUCGUUUCUUAUGUUGUUCCUGAGCUCAAAACAAAGCUUUAAACGACAAGAAGAAAUUAGAACCUGCAACUUCAGGAAUUCUGGAUCCUUAUUCUGUCCUUUGAUGAUAUCAAUGGGGAGAGUCUCGAAUUCGACCUCCUUCUCAAUGAGGCAAACAAGCACGCGCUUUGCAGAAGCAAAAUCUGGGCCAUACACCUUCACCACCAUUGUUGUUAUCUUGAUUUAUCUCUCAAAGAUCUAGUAAAAACAACGACCGGCGUUUGGGUAGAGGGGUUGAUCUUGAGGCCUUACAUGUAGUGGUUUUUCAAAGUCCAAGAGAUUCGAGAUCAUGCACCUUCUGCGUAAAAAAUGGGCACAUACAGUCAGAUAUUUGAGCAGCUUAUCAUUAAAAAGGGAAGAUGAAGAUUAAAAAAAUAGCAGAUAUUCUCCAAUGCGACUUCAUGGAUAAGAAGAGAAGGAAGGAAAUCGUAGUUUGACUACUUCUUUAAACUUUUGAAAUAGAUUCUAAUACUCACAUUUUUAAUUAGAGAUUAGAAAAGUUUUUCUCAUAAAAUUAUCAGUACAAUGAUGAAAAUGAAUGAUAAAGAUAUCCACUUUGGAAAGAUUUUUGAAAAAUUGGUCAAAAAUCAAAGAGAUUAUAAAAGUUUUUCUCAUAAAAUUAUCAAUUCAAUGAUGAAAAUGAAUGAUAAAGAUAUCCACUUUGGAAAUUUUUUUGAAAAGUUGGUAAAAAAUCAAAGAGAUUAGAAAAGUUUUUCUCAUAAAAUUAUCAAUUCAAUGAUGAAAAUGAAUGAUAAAGAUAUCCACUUUGGAAAAAUUUUUGAAAAGUUGAUCAAAAAUCAAUAAUUAAAAUUUUUUAUUUCGUUAGAUUUGAAGAGUGGAAAUUUUUUUGGAAUUAAAUAUAGAUUUGGAAAAAAAAAUUAGAAAUCAGAUGAUUGAGAUUUGAUUUUAAACAUUAAGUAUAUUGUAAAAAUUAAUAAAAUUAUUAUUAGGUAAUUAUUGUAAAACCUUAGUGAGAAAAAUUAGUUGAAAUUUAUAUAAUGUGGAAUUGCUAUAAUGAAUUGUUAGAAAUUGAAUUUAAAAUUAUAACAAAUAAAUUUAGUUUUAAUUGGAAUUAAUAAUUUUGAUUUUGAGGAUUAAUUAAAUUGGUAAAAAUACAAGUAUAUGAUUUAAUGUUAUUAGAAAUUAAAUUUUAUUGAGACAUAAGAUAUUUAAUUUAGAAAAAAAAAUAUAAUAUAAUAAAAUUUUAAUUUUUGGGAAUUGAAAUAUGUUUAGGGGCAUGUAUAAAAAAAAUAAUAUGGAGGAGUUGUGAAAUAAUAAUAAUACUAGGCUUAUAAAAAAUUUUAGAAAAGAAUAUGCCACUGUCUGUAAAAAAAAAAAUAUUAAAAGUGGCGGAAAGCCUUGGUCAAAAAAUUUAGGGAAUAAAGGUUAAAAGAGAGAGAGAGAGAGAGAGAGAGUGGAAAGUGGCAUGAAAGCCACUGCCUAUAAAAAAAAGUAAGCCACCUCCUAAUAUUAAACUGGUGGAAAUUCAAUGAAAAUUAUGUUAAGAGUCAAAUUUAGUAAUUAUUUAUUGGUGGCACACUUCAUGUGAAUUAAAAAAAUAUUUGUGUGAAGAUUUAGAAUUAUUUUGAUUGUAUUUAAAAGAUGAAAUUAAAAUUUAUUAGUGAUAUAUUAGUGUUAAGAAUAAUGGAGAUUAUUGAUUGAAAAUUUUGAGUAUUGUUAUAUGUCUAAACUACUUGUUUUAUAGUAUUAUUAUUUGAGUUGGGUUCAUUCUACAUCCAUGGUUGUUUGGAAAAGAAAAGUAAAGAAAUCAUGAUAUGAAAUAAAAAUGAAAAUUAAAAGACCCUAAAUAAGGCAAAAAUGAAAAGGUUAAAAAUAAGAAAUGGAAGAACCCAACGAAUACGAAUUAAAAAUCAAGUGAAAUCUUUAGCGUGAUUGAGAAUUAAAAGACAUCGAAAAGGGUAAAAUUAAAAUAAAUUUUUUUAAAAAUGGUAGAUUUUCAAGAAGGACGAAUUAAAUAUAGAAUGAGAUCUCUAGUGUGUAAGCAUUUGGAUCAUGUUUGCUUCUAGAUAAAGAAUUUAUAUAAACUAAUUAAAUGACAUCAAAUGUAUGUUUGAAUAUAUUAUUAAAAAAUGAUUUAUUUAUUUUGUAUAGGAAAAUUAGAAAUAUUUGUUAUGAUAUGCAUGAUUAAAGAAAGAAAUGUGAUAAUGUAGAUUGAUGUAAUUUUGUAUGAUUGAGUUUCAUUUAAUGUAUAUAAUGAAUAAAAUAUUAUUAUAUUUUGGUAUUUUAUGAUAUUAUAUUCACCUAGAAUUGUUAACCUGUUCGUGUGCAAAACAUCUAGUUAAGCAACAUGGGAAUACUCACCUCUUUCUCUUUAAAAUUUUAAAGAUGUCAAUGUAGUUUAUGAGAAUCACAAGAAAACAAGGAAGAAUUUCAAUAAGUCCCAUGAAGUCAAGGAACAACCUCAAUAAUUGUUUUAAAUUUCUAUUAAUUUUUUUGGUAUGUACUACUUUGAGUUAUAUGGAUUAUAGUAACCUAACAUAUAUAUUUUAAAUAUUUUAUUCGAAAAGAAAAUCAUGUACUAAAUCCUAAUUCAAUAAAAUUAAAUGAAACUAGAUAUCAAUUUAUUUUAGAAAAAUCAUAUUAUGAGGUUGAUUGUCAACUUGGAUAAGAGUAACCUCUAAGCUCACACUUUCGAUCUAGGUCAUGAGUUUGGCUCUAGAUUAGUAGGAAUUCAACAGUGACAUAUGCCUUGAGGAACCCACUUGAGAAAUUUGGUUUCUUGAAAGGUAACAAAUGAAGUGGUUAAGCUAGCAAUAAGGGAAGAGAGACUUGUUUUGGGAAUUUCUUCAAAUUCCAUACUGUUCUCUCCCUUUCUGUUUGACAUUUAAGAGUAUGAUGUGUUAAUCUAUCUUCAUACUCUUCCAUCUAAAGAGCAGACUGGGUUGAUUUUGAUCCAUUCUACGUUCAUCCCUUUCUUUAAAGGUGACCCACACCUUAAGAUUUUUGGUACAAUGUCCUACACUUGAAAAAUACCAAGCUCCAAAUGGAGAAAGAACACCCAUAAGCAUUCAAAUUGUUAUUCUUACAAAACCAUGGACAUAAAUCCUCAAGAGGACAACAAACAAGAUAGGAGAAAGAGAGCAGCCAGCCCUAGACAUGGAGGACAUUAUUUGAAAAUGUAAAUGGAGAAAGAACACCCAUAAGCAUUCAAAUUGUUAUUCUUACAAAACCAUGGACAUAAAUCCUCAAGAGGACAUCAAACAAGAUAGGAGAAAGAGAGCAGCCAGCCCUAGACUUGUAGGGCAUUAUUCCAAGAUUGGGGCAGGGUAGAGCUCAAGGACCUUUUUCCAAGAUGGCCUGCUACUAAUAUCAUCCCACCAUGCACUCACAUGCUCUCUCUCCUUAAUCAAAUACAUCUUGCCCAUAGCACCCAAGUAGUUAGUGAAAGGAAUGUGGCUGAGAUCAGCAAGGCUAAAGAAGUCCCCAGCCAAGUACUUGCUCUUAGACAGCCUCUCCUCGUAAAUGUCCAACACUUUCCCAAGAUUUUUCUCACUCUCUUCAAUCACUUUUGCAUCUGCAGGAAACCCCAUCUUGUCACUGAACAGAACGUGAAGAACUAAAUUGUAUAUUGGUGGGUGGUAGUUUUGUGCUUCAACCUCUAGCCACUGCUCCACAGUACCCCUUUCCUCUAUUGUCUUCCCAAGCAAAUCAGUUCCUUGAGACUUGUACUUCUCUGCAUAGUACCUUAUGAUAGCUCUUGAUUCUGCAAAUCAAAUUAAGAGCCAUCCAUCAAUGGUUUAUUUUUCUGAUUUUAGUUACAUAAUAUGAAGAAAUUUUGCAAUCCUUGACAUAAUUUUUCCUAGAAAAUUUCCAACCAAAGAAAACAAACCUAAAUACGAAAGGAUCACAAAAAUUUUACAAAGGGAUUUACCAUAUAAAGUAUAAUCUCCAUCUUGAAUGACAGGAACCACUCCAAAAGGCUGCAGUUCAUCAGAGAAAAGCAAUGGAAACUAUAAGCAGAUCCUCUGAUAGAUAUAGUUGAAUUUGAAACAUCAAGGGUGAUCCAAAAAAGGGUUGUAAGUUUAAUUUUGAAAAACUCCUCUUCAUCUUCUCUCAAUUUAUAAUCCUACCUUUUAAAACCAGAAAAUGGGCAGUAUCAAGAAAUUCAGCUUUCUGGGUAACUUUAAAAUCAAAAUUCCUCCUUUUUCUUGUUCUUUUUCCAAAGACUUUACUGAGAAUCAAACAGACCCUGAUCCAAAAUAAAAAAUUCCGAAAAAAAAAAAAAAAAAAAUACCUGUAACUUGAGGUAUUCAGGAUCCUUGUGCUCUCCUUUGAUGAUAUCAACUGGGACAGUCUCAAACUCAAUCUCCUUCUCAACAAGGCAAAUAAGGACACGCUUUGGACAAGCAAAGGCUGGGCCAUACACCUUCACCACCAUUUUUUUUUCUUCUUCGUUUUUUUUCAGGGCAACCAAACAGCUUUAAUAACUGAAUACUAAUAGCCCUUGAAGAGAGCCGUGAAUAAAUUUAUCACUCCAUCUUUCUCCUUUUCAUUUUUUCAAACUAGUACAUAACCGCACCUUUAAAAUGUGAUUAUAUUUGAUAUUUUCUUUAAAGCAUUAUAAAUAAUUUUUCAAAGUUUUAAAGGCAAAAGAUGACGUUUUAUCAUCUUUUUUUUCUUCAAAAGUUUUGCAAUAUUUGGUUUCGAAAGUAUUAAGAAAAAAAAAACGAAAAUUGGUUUUCUUAUGUUUUAUUUUACCGUAAAAAAAAUAUAAUUAAAAUUAAUUAAAAUUUUAUGCAUUUUAAAAUUAUUUAACAUUUAUAUAAUAAAAAAAUAAGUUAAAUGAGUUUGAAAAAACCAUAUAAAAUAAUUUUUAAAAUUUAAAUCUAUUUUUUAUUUUCAUUUACUCUUUUUUUUUCCUUUUAUAUUUUAUUUUUAUUUUUAUUUUCUCAUAUUUUUUCUUGAAUUUUUUGAGAGCCAAACAUACCCUUUAUGUUUUAGGUUUUCAAGAGUAUUGUCAAACAAAUAUUAACACCCUAUUUGAUAACUAUUUUUUAAAAUUGUUCUUUAAUAUUUUAUAAAAUAAAAAUCUUUUUGGAACCUAAAAUAAUUUUAACAUGUUUUUUUAAUAAUUUUUAUGUUUAAAGCUUUAUUUUUAAUCAUUAUACAUGUUUGUUUAAAACAAAUGAAAAUAACUAAAAAUAACUAAAAGAUGUGCAAAAAAUAGAUUUUUGAUUGUCAAAUAUGUUUUUCAAUUUUUUUUCUAAGAAAUAAAAAAUUAUUCUCGAAAACAAUGGUAAAACAAACCCUAAACCAUUGAGCCUGACUCAAAACUUACACGACAUUGAAUUUAACCAAUUUCGUUGGUCCAAUUGGGGUCAAUAUUCUUUUGUAGGCCAGCCUGACAACCCAACCCUUGACAGGUCAUGUAAAUGUUGUCCACCCUCCCUUUAUCUUUGGUUCUAAUAGUUUAUAAAUCAUCAUUUUCAAUAAUAUUUCAUAAAUUAUGAGUUCCUUUUUUCAUAGUCAUAUGUUUCAACUAUGUUGAAUGAAUGAAUGGUAGCAACUCCUAUCUUCCUCUAUAAUGACAGAGGUAGUUUUGAGAUGACAAUUCCAACUUAUCCAACACUUUCAAUGAGUCCAUUUCCAAAAUUAUGCCUAACCUUUGAAAAAGGUGCUUUCAAAUAUUAUAUAUAUAUAUAUAUAACUGAAUUAAGUUUAUGGAUUUACUUAGACCAUUUUAUGGAUCAAUAGAGAAUUUUGAUUUUUGAAACAUCUUUCAAUCUUGUUCGAGAUGGUCUAACCAACUAAUCACUAAGUUAUCAAAGGUAAGAGUCGUAUCCCACUAAGAAUACAUGUAUCACUAUCCAACCUAACUUUUGAUUCAUUUUUCAUAUCAUGAUUCAUUUCCAUUUUCAUUCUAUUUCAAAUCUUAUUUUCAUAAACAAAACCCACCAUUAGAGUUUGUUUGCUUGCUACUCCAAAACAAAAAUUGAGAAAAUAAAAAUAAAAAAAAUAAAAAAUGAAAGCAUGUUUAGGGAUGAGUUAAAAAAAAAAUCUUAAAAAUAAAAAUUAAAUAGAGUGUUUUCUCAUAAUAUAUUUAAAUUGUUCUUACUUGUUUUCUAAGAAUUAUUUUUUAAAAAUACUAUUCAUAAAAAUUAAUUUUUUUAAUAUUUAAAAAGAAAUAAAACAAGUUAAGAACAUUUAAAGUUUUCAAACAAAAUUUUAUUAUGCAUAAUAUUCAAAAAAAUAAUUUAAAACUUAUAAUUAUUUUUAAAAAUAUUUUCCCAACAUAACCUUAAUUUUCUUUUUUCACUCACCCCAAAGUAUAUAAAAUACAUAGUAACAAUUGUUAUUAAAAAAUUAGCUCUCUUUUCUUUUUAGAACUAUCAACCAACCAAUAUUUGUGUGUAUGAGUUCCUACAUAUAUUUGGUUAUGAUUUAUUUAAAAAUGAAUAUACCAUCUUUCAAUAACUACAAUAAAUAAAUAAAUAUAUAUAUAUAUAUAUAUAUAUAUAAUUACAAAUUUUAAUAAUAUUUUAUUUUUAUAUUUGAUAUAUCAAAUUAAAUAAUAAAGAUAAAUAUAAAUGUAUUUUGAAAAAAAUCCAAUUUUUAAGCUCAUUUAUACCCAUUUUUUAAAGAACUCAUCUGAACUCUCCAUUUUCACACUUAAUCUUUACCAUUCAUUUAAGGACAAACCCUGAAACUCAUAUCUUCCUAUCACCAACCACAUCUCCCUUUUUUCUCCCAUCUUUCUUUCCCUUUCUCUUCUUUUCUUUCUUUCUCUCUCUCUCUCACCAUACCCACGCCUAUUGUGACCACCAACCACCUCUUGCCAACAACUCCUAUUGUUAGUCACUGGCGUCUCAUUCCCACCCCCUCACUAUCUCUCUCAUGAAAAAAAAAGACAUGUUGUGAAUCGAUUCAUUGGAAUCGAUGAGGUUUAACAAUAUCACUCUUAAAAGUCAAAAAGCAUAUUCCAAACAAGAUAUUAUUCAUAGAUGAUGGAUUUCAAGGAUUUUCAAGUUGAUGGAUUUCAACAAAAUUCAAGAUAGAAAUUGAACUUUGUAAUAAACUUUAUAUUAAAAUAAUACUUUGAUUAUAGAAAGUUUGAAUCUUGAAUUGAUACAAAACUUUGAUUACAAUGAAAUGUUUUGAAUACAAGAGAAGAGUUUGAAAAAGAGAGACAUGAUUUUUUUAAAAGGAUCUAAGAAAUUAUCCACCCACUUGAACCCUAAGGGUAGCUCAGUUGGUCCUAUCUUGAGUUUGCUCCCCAAUCAUCAUUAGUUCAAGUUCUUUCAAGAUCGCUAAGGCUUACUCUCGUUAAGCCCACGAUUAUAAAAAAAAAUUCCACCAACAACUCUUGAAAUUCACCCACAGUGCUAUAAAUGAAUGGAAUUUGCUCUUCCUAAUAUUGUUACGGUUAAUUGGAUAUAUAUAUAUAUAUAUAUAAUUAUUCUUUUAAAGAACGAAUUUUUCAGUUUUUUAAAACUAUUUUGAAUAAUAUAUAAAAAAUAAAAUUAGCACAGAGGAAAGAUUUAAUUGAUUUCUGGCGAGGAAAAGUAUUCCAGAAAACUAGAUUUCAAAAUGUCAAUCACCUUCUGUUUGGGUUGAGAGAAAACUAGGGAUAAAAAGAAAAAGGGGGAAACUUUCAAAUCUCAAAUCCGUAUUGAUUUGGUUCCCAGAACGUAAGAUUAAAUAAGGAAAAAAAUUUGACAAACCCACCUCAAGCAGCGAUUUCCCUAGUAACCCAAAGUAACGAAAGCCACAAGAUUCAUUUUCCUUGUGUAAAAUUUUCUCGGCAACCAAAAAGAGACGGAAAGGAAGAAACGAGCCUUCAGAGGUGUGUGCGCAUCAUCACAAGGCCCAGAGGAGGGGUGCGUACAGGGAGAGUAGAGAAAGUGGGAGAAGAAGAAACGAGCAGCAGAUGUUAGAAUUCAGAUUGAAAACUAAAUCAGCAUCAUUAAAUUGACGAAUGUUCUUUCAGGUUUUCAUGUCCACAUGUAUCUGCCGCUUCAAGUUUUGCCUCUCUUCUCCUGCCUUUCUCAAAGCCCCUCUUCACCGCCCCCUUCUAUCGGAUCCUGGUGCGGUGGGUCCUUAUAUAUCAGUCAUGUGGGAGUUAGGGUUUUUUUUCUUUGGUCCUAGGUCUGCAUAGGUUAAAUGUACUAUUCAUAAUUCAAAUUCUCUGGGUGGGUCUAAACGCUAACAAUUCUUUCAGUCUGAAGCUAACAGUAACCACAGACUCAUCAGGUUGAGUUUUGGCUGAAUGGUUCCUCUUGCAUAAUUGUAUUUGAAAUUAAUAAUAACUUUUGCUAUCAAGUAAAAAGCAAAAACCAAAAAUUGAA